rnacentral:lncRNA from 1 species
AGAGAAGGAGCUGACCAGAGAGAGCUGCAAAAAUGUCAGCAACGCUGUGAAGAGGAACCGAUUAAGGAGAGGGAAAGAGAACAAGAAAAAGGGCAAGAGAGACAACCGCGAGAGCACGAACUAGACAGAGAGAAAAGUGAUGAUCCUCGAAAGCAAUAUGAAAGAUGUCUUGAAAUCUGUGAGAGACAAGAAGGAAGGCAGAAACAGCAGUGUAAAAGAAGGUGUUAUACGCAAUAUGAAGAGCAACAAAAAGAAUGGGAAGAAAGAGAGCAUGGAGGUGGCGGAGGAAACUCGGAAACAGAAACUAGAAGUAGAGAAAUUGAGCAACACAAGAAUAACCCUUACUACUUCCAUGCUCAGAGAUUAAGAUCUCCAUUUAAGACAGACGAGGGACAUAUUAGAGUCCUUGAGAAGUUCUCCGAGAGCUCUGAGCUUCUUCGUGGAAUCGAAAAUUAUCGCUUGCUAUUGUUGGAUGCUGUUCCUAACACUUUUAUUGUUCCAAAUCAUUUUGAUGCAGAAUCUCUUGUUGUUGUCCUAAAUGGUGAGCGCUUUACCUAUUCGAUUGUAAUUGAUUACAAUUUCGACAUAGUUUUUCUAAUGUAAGAGUGUUAUCCUUUGAAUUCUACAGGUAAAUGCACUAUUAGCUAUGUGUUGCGAGAGAAGAGAGUCUCCUACAACUUGGAGACUGGCGAUGUUAUCAAGAUUCCUGCAGGAGCUACUGUUUACAUGAGUAACCAUGACAAUAAUGAAAUGUUGAGAUUGGCAACUCUUAUUCAGCCUGUCAAUAUUCCUGGAGAAUUUAGUGUAAUUAUCUCCUGUUCUUCCGAAGCUUCAAUUUUUAUUUUUAUGUUUUGGUAUACAAUCUUAUAGUGCUUGUUAUCCUUUCAGAGUUUCUCAGCUGCAGGAGGUGGAAACCUCGAGUCAUUUUACACAGUCUUCAGCAAUGAUGUUCUUGAGGCCGCUCUUGAUGUAAGGCUUCCUCGACUUUUCUUUGAUCCUUUCCAGGAAUCAUGAUAUAGUACUAAUUUGGUUCUACUAUUUUGUCUAAUCUAAUAUUAGACCCCAAGAGAUCAGCUAGACAAGCUCUUUGGUCAGCAAAGGCAGGGCGUGAUCGUGAAAGCUCCUCAAAAGCAGCUUAAGGCCCUAAGCCAACGCGUUUCAUCAACAAGGCAGAAAGGCCAAGCUCCUUUAAAUCUUCGCAAUCAACAGCCUCUAUACUCCAAUAGAUAUGGAAACUUGUGGGAGGCCUCACCAAAUGAUCACAAGCAGCUUCAGGACAUGGACGUCUCUGUCUCUUAUGCUGAAAUUAAAAGAGUAAGCAAACAAUUGGUCUGAAAUAUAGUCAUAAUUCCUUGUUUUAGGGUACAUUGACACUUCCAAUCAACUUUUAUGAGUAAGAAAAUUAAAUUUUGUAGGGAUCGUUAAUGGUACCGCACUACAAUUCCAGAACUACAACAAUUGGUUUAGUAUUGGAAGGCAGUGGACGCGUGGAAAUGGCCUGUCCACAUGUAGCAAGCCAAAAACAGAAGGAAUCCCAACAAGAACAAGAAACAAAAGGUGGUGCGGAGCAUUACCGAAAGAUCAGCUCCAAUUUGUCACCUGGAGGUGUCUUUAUAAUGCCGGCAGGUCAUCCUACAGCACUUCUGGCUUCGCAAAAUGAAAAUCUGCUUACAUUGUGGUUCGGAAUUAAUGCCUCGAACAAUCACAGGAACUUCCUUGCUGGUAUGCCUAAAUCUUUACAGCUCAAAUUAGGACAUUCAUAAACUUAAAAAGGAUUAAUUUCCUGUCGUUGGUUUGGUUUUGUUAUGCAGGGCAAAGAGAUAACGUAAUGAACCAGAUUGAAAUAGAGGCAAAAGAGCUGUCUUUCAAUGUACCAGCAGAACUAAUAGAGAAGAUAUUCAGAAACCAAAAGGAAUCACACUUUGUGGCAGGACCUCAACAGGGCCAGAGGCAACAAAGAGAGGAAGGAAGAGGCCACUCUAUCCCUUCAAUUUUGGACUUUCCUGGUUUCUUUUGAGUUGCGGGUAGAGGAAAAAGGAGAGAGAAGGUACGAUGCUGUAUCGUGUUAAGAGUCUGUUCUGCAAAAUGUAAAUGUUAUGCAAAUAUCUACGAGUGUACGUAACUGUGGAAAUCAAGAAGAUUUCCACUGUCAAUAAAUAAGAAGUUCUGCUGAUUUGUCUGUUUUCUGAAUGACCCAAUUGCAGCAUCUGCCUUCCAAAUCCUGAAACUUCAAAUUUUAGAUUCAUUUCUUUCUCGGUGGUGGUUCUACAAAAAAACAAAAGACCUGCCAUGUAUUAGUAUCCAAUUUCACAAUGUCUUUUUCUGCCUGCUGGAUGAUACAUUCUCCAUUUUUCUAUAUGUAAAAAGAAUUAACACCUCUUUAAAUUAAUAGUAUAGUUAUUAAUUCAAAUAUUGCGCCGCAAUUAUUAUUUUAUUAUAUAUUUUUUAAUUAUAAUUAAUAAUAUAUAAUCACUUAAUAUAGAAUAAGUGGCUGUCGUAUGAAAGGUCAUCAUAAAACUCUUAAUUUUGGAAGUUAACAAUUCUAUGUGUUGAAUAUAUUGUACCUAAGAAUUCUUUUGUUUUUGUUGACAUGUACCCAAGAAUUUUUAAACGAAUCGUUUUCAUAGUCGUUUAUAUAUUAAUUGUAAAGAUUAAACCAUAUUUUCUUCCUUAUGUUUUCAAUUUUUUUAUUUCAGUCAUAGAGUAAAUAUUAUCUGAUUAAAUGUUUAAAUAAGUUUAUACAUAUUAUAUUAUAUAAAAAGUUAGUUCAAUCUAUAUACCUAAACCGAUUAAACAUAUAAUUUGUUUAUAUUCUUAUCAUUUUUAAUAAAUGAAUUGGAUUAGAAUUCGUCAUUUUUUAUUUUUUAUUUAUAUAUUAACACGGCAUAUUUAUAAUACCACAAUCCAAAGAGCCUUGUGUGUAAGGUUCUUAUUUUUUUUAAAAAGAAAAUGUAUUUAAAAUAUAAAUACUAAUUACUCUAUUUGAAUUAAAAUAAUAACUUCGUUGCUCUGUUAUAAUAGAUUUAUCAGUUCCAUUUCCUUUUUAUAAUAAGCAUUGAUUAAUGAAUAAAAGCUUGGUAUCCAAUAACAAUCAGUAAUUACCAAUUAUAUUAAUAUAACAACUAUACGAAUACACUAAUUUUAUAUAUUAUAAACUUUUUUGCACAUUUACAAAUUAUUAUUAUUAUUAAUGGCUAUCAUUUGUGUUGGUAAAACUGAACAGCUGAAAGCCUUAUAUCUGUCAGUUGUAUCACACAGGAAGAAAGGAGAUUAUUUUUUUUCUAAAGAAAAAGAAAAAGAAAGAACAAGAGAAAGUAAGAGAAAAUGUAUAGGAAGAAAAAUUGUAGAUAUUAUGUAUUUUAUUACGAAUGAGAAAUAAUACAAAUGAAGUCUUCCUUCACUGCUGUGCCAUUCNNNCGAAAUAAAUGAAAACAUAUAUAUAUAAUAUAAUGAAUUUAUUUACAUAAUUUAGAGGUUCAUGGGGGACAAAUUACCAGCAACAUCUUUGUUGAAGCAGUCAGUGUCGCACUUCAUUUCGCAGAAGGUCUGGCCCUGUCCGGAAGCCUUGCAUUCCUGCUCGCAGUUGUUGAAGCAAGAGGCAAAUUUGUCAGCCCCGGCUUGAGGAAGUAGCUCGACAGCAGCAACAAGAACAAGGCACAUAACCAACAGUGCAGCAACCUUGUUGUUUGCCAUUUUUUCUUUUUAAGUUUUAGUAGUGAGAAGUAUCUUUAUUUAAGUAUUCGUGCACUGGGGUUCCUGAACUUCCCUUUUUAUUCUGUAUGUGUAUCCACCCUUGCUCUUCUAAGGGAGAAGACGAUCAGAAUUUAUAGCAAUCUAAUAUGGGUUGUCGAGUGAUUGUCCUUUAAAGACGGUAAAAUUUGUUGGUUUUAAUCAUGUAUUUUCUCUAACGUCCUAUUCUUAGUGAAAAAUGGUGGAGUCAAUUCAACCAACUCCUAUUUUUAUCAAAAUAAAUCAUCAUAAAGAAAUAAAUAAUCAAAGAAAAUAGUUCCACCCUUAAUUUAUCCUAAUAAUACUACUCUACUAAAUUGACAUGCUUGCUUGCAGAAAAUAUGAACAUCUUAACUUAUCACAAUGCGACCAUUAAUUCUUGAAGCUUCUGCUAUUUUCAUGGCAACAUAUUAUGUCAUUAAGAGACUAAAACAAAUUGACAUUCAUUGGGUUCCCAAUUGAUAAUUAUCGGAAUCCUACAUAUGAUUCUGCACGUUCCUAGAUACAUAGGCUUCCUGAAUACUUAUUUUGUUAUUAAUCAAAACAUAUUUCUUUUAAAAAAUAACUUGUUUUAUUUGCAGAAAAGUAUGAAGAAAUUAUGUUCUAGGAUUUGGUGCGUUUUGAAAAAAGAUUACUAUAUUCUUAAUGAAAGAGAAUAUAAAAAUACUUAAAAAACUUUAUGUUCAGUUUAUAGAAAUGAUUUAAUCAACAUUAGCCAAGUUAAACAAUUUCUUAUUAACUGAUGUCAACUACCGGCCACCAAAGAUAGCCUUCAAGUUUCAACUUGGUGUGACUGAAUUGGUGGAGCCUCCGCCUCCUGUUCUUCAAAUGUUGCUGUCAGAUGCUAUUGGUGUCUCUUGGCCAAGAAUGGUCCCUGGCUAGUUUCUCUUUUUUUCUUCUUCUUUUGUUUGUCGUUGGAUUUUUCCCUCCUCUUGUAUCAAAUAAAAAAAAAAAGAUAGCUACAAAUCAUUAAAGGCAUAGUUGAUGUAUUAAUCGAUGUAUAUUUAGCUAGUUUUUGUAUUUUCUUUUUCAUUUUCAUAAAUCUGUAUUGUUUGAAAAAUAACUUAUUAUUUUCUUAGAUGAAUUUCUUUUUAGUCACAAAAAAUAAUUUUUAUAAAAUACUUGAUUCAUAUUUUAAUAUUGUAUAUGUAACAGGAUAAUAGAAUUGACAGUGAAAAUACAUAUAAAUUGAAGGUCAACAAAACUCCAAUAAUAAAUAUUUGUUCAAAUUAGUAGGCCUAAUCUUUUGGUGGCUAGGGUUCUCAAAGAAAAGUACUUCUCAUUUAGCUCAGUUUUGGAGGCCUCUCUUGGGAGUAGACCUAUUUAUAGGCCUGGGUAUCCGCCCGGCCCGCACUGUUCGGGUCGGGUUUGGAUAAUAAUUUUUGUGUACAAGUCCGGCUCGGCCCAAAUUCAUAAAAAAAAAAAUCAUAUUUAGCAUUUAAACUUGUGACCUUUAACUUAUAAUUAAGUGCUACUUACCACUUAGCUAUCUAUUAUUUUUGUUUAUAAUUUUAUUGUUAUUAAUAAUAUAUUUAAAUAAAACUAAACUCAAGCCCGACCCGAACCCGAUCCGUAUUUACAGGUUUAACAAUUGGUCGGGCCGGGCCGGGAUUUUUAAAAAAAAUUCGGGCUCAGGCUUGGGCUGAGAGAUAUUAAAAAAAUUUCGGGCUUGGACGGGCUUAGGCUUGUUCAAAAUAAAAUCAAGCCCGGUCAGGCCCGGCCAAUGAACAGGUCUACUUGGGAGUAACCCCUAUAAUAUUUAGCACAGUCUUGUCUGGAGUAGAUUUAAACUUGACAAAAGAGGUGCGGUAGUAUGUGGGAAACGGGCAACCUAUUCGGAUUUUGGCAAUAUGAGUGAGUCUUAUAUUUCCUCUCCUCUUUUUGAUAAGAUGUAGGCUAUUCGAGAAGGUAUGCGCGUUGCUCUCGAAUGUGGUUCAAGUGAUAUUCAGUUGGAAUCGGAUUACGUAGAAGCUGUUAAUAUUAUUAAUAACGAUUUUAUUGUCUUUUUUGAAUUUAGUAUGGUUUUGGAGGACAUUCGGAGACUUGCAUCUUUAUUUUUUACUGUUUAUUUUAAUUUAAUUAAUCGAAUUUGCAAAUUAGUUGCUCAUAUAUUAGCUUGAGGACGAAUACCCUUUAUGGAUUCAACACUUUCUGUUGAUAAAUAUGUUAUGAUUUUAUUAUCUUUUUGUGAUUUUAGUUUUGGAGUACUCUUUUUCCUUUUUAAGAUUUUUUUCACAUAAUUUUCUGAAUUGUUUUUUAACGAGACUUCUUUUCUGAUGUGGUUGAUAGUUUUUUAAUACACUCUCCCCUUUUAAAAAUAAGAUGUGUCUAUUUAAUUUCAACUAAUGAUUUAAUAUUUCUAAUUAAUGCAGUUUCUAAUUUAAGGAUUUAAAAAAAAAAAAAAAAAACUACACGUUUGGAAGAGGAGGAUAGACAAUCCUAAACCAUCCCAAACUAAAACUCUUAUUCCUAAACUAAAACACACGACUUUCAUCAGCCAAACAUCACUGUACAACAUAGCAAAAGACCAAAAUACCCUUACCUUCAAAGUUUCCCCAACUUGUUGCUCAAGAAGAGAAAAAGCACUAAAAAGAGUUGGAUCGAAGAAAAGGCAGACAGAAGCAAGAGAUCAAUAAGAAUGGAGUGCGUAUUUGGAUUAGUAGGCAACGAUUUCGCAAUAGUAGCAUCCGAUACAUCGGCCGUACACAGCAUCCUCGUCCACAAGUCCAAUGAAGACAAAAUCAUGGUCCUCGAUUCUCACAAACUCAUCGCCGCCAGCGGUGAACCCGGCGACAGGUUUUAUAUUAUCACUCGCUAAUUCACUAUUACUCUACACCAGAACAAUUUUUUUUGUUAUUAAUAAAUGUAAUUAACAUAACUGUGAUUUGGUUUUGGUGAAGAGUUCAAUUCACGGAGUAUAUACAGAAGAAUGUGUCGCUGUAUCAGUUUCGUAACGGAAUCCCUUUGAGUACUGCUGCUGCUGCUAACUUCACUCGUGGAGAGCUUGCUACUGCUUUGAGAAAGGUAUAUUUGUUUGCAUAAGUCUGUGGAUUUUGGGUUUAGGGUUUGUUGUUGUGGAUUUGUUUAUUACUAUCAACUGGUGCAUAUAUAUCUGUCGGAUUUGGUACCAUGUCCGUGUGUUUUUUAAUGUCUUUUCUAGACUUUGAAUUCCAACAACAUGCUCUUUAGUCUUAANNNNNNNNNNNNNNNNNNNNNNNNNNNNNNNNNNNNNNNNNNNNNNNNNNNNNNNNNNNCUUUACCUUCAAUAUGAAAUUUGCAACGAACUGUGAAUAAGAGAUGUAGUUAAGGCCUCUCAAUGUGAGAUAAAGCGAAUGGUUUGUCUUGGAAAAUGAUCAAGUAUGUUUAGAGCAGACAAAUACGAGCUCAGCGAGGAUAACUGGGGAAAGGAACAUGAUUUUCUGUGGAAUCAGCCAUUGUCCAAAGGUUAAGAGAUGAAUGCUGGAAAAUACUGAGAAAGCUACUCAAGAGCAAGAUAAACUAGAGGGACAAGGGGAGGGGGCAGUUGGUUUUUCUUUUUUUUUUUUUUUUUUCCCUCCCCCUUGCAUGGUGCAUCUUUGUGUGCAGUGGUCCAGAUUUUAAGCUUUGCCUAGGCUAGCUUUCUUAAGCUUCCAGGAUAAGUAUGGACAUACUUGUUGGGAUGUGUUGCAAGAUGUCUAGUUCCUCAAGGUGCUUCAUUAUAAGUUUGUAAACAUACUUGUUUAGAUAGAUUAGACAUAACUGUUCCACAUACUUUAUAUAAGCUCCAGGACAUUGGGGAGCUGGAUAUAUCCCCAUUAGGUGUACCUUUUUUACCUUGGUUUCCCUUGUUCAGGACUCGGGUGAAACACCUAUUUUCCAAAAUUGUUUAUUGAGGAUGGACAGUCAUGCUGCUUGUGCUCAUCCAUCCCCCUCUCUUGAGAUUUGCAUAGUCCAACUGGGCUGAGUCUCUUGGGCUUGAGCAUGCCUGUUUGACAUUAUAUGGAGCCUGAGCUGGCGUGCGAGAGAGAGAGAAUCUCCCUCUAUUCUCUAAGUCACGUGUUUAAGAAUCUUUGUGCAGAGAGAGAGAGAUGCAUAUGCUAUACAAAUCUUAUCAAUUUUAUGUGUCCUCUAAGCUAUAUCAAUGAGAGAGUGUGUGUCCCGCUCUAAUCUCUAAUUCAUGUGUUUAAGAACCUUUAUCGGGGGGGGGGGGAGGGGAGAGAAGAAAGAGAGAGAUGUGCGUGCUAUACAAAUCUUAUCAAUUUUAUGUAUCCUCUAAGUUGUACCAAUCUUCUUUGGCACUGCUAGUCUUGAGAUUUCAUUAAGGUUGGAUUCUGCUGUCCUAAUAUGUUGUCAUAGUUGUUGGUUGGUGAAUGCAUGAUGUUUUGGUAUCCCAUUGCAACAUCUGUUGAUUUCAGUAAUUUAUCUAUUUGUGCUCUUAUUGAAUGCUGGACUGUGUUUCUCAUUUUAUUUGCUUCCCGGAUGGACUCAAGAGACUGCAAUUUUAGCUGAUAGUACUAUUGUAGUGUCCUACUGAACUGAACGUUUGAAUUUUCAGAACCCGUACUCUGUGGGGGGAGGGGAGAGAAGAAAGAGAGAGAUGUGCGUGCUAUACAAAUCUUAUCAAUUUUAUGUAUCCUCUAAGUUGUACCAAUCUUCUUUGGCACUGCUAGUCUUGAGAUUUCAUUAAGGUUGGAUUCUGCUGUCCUGAUAUGUUGUCAUAGUUGUUGGUUGGUGAAUGCAUGAUGUUUUGGUAUCCCAUUGCAACAUCUGUUGAUUUCAGUAAUUUAUCUAUUUGUGCUCUUAUUGAAUGCUGGACUGUGUUUCUCAUUUUAUUUGCUUCCCGGAUGGACUCAAGAGACUGCAAUUUUAGCUGAUAGUACUAUUGUUGUGUCCUACUGAACUGAACGUUUGAAUUUUCAGAACCCGUACUCUGUGAACAUCCUUCUGGCUGGCUAUGACAAGGAGACUGGUCCUUCUCUCUACUACAUUGACUAUAUUGCUACCCUUCACAAAGUUGAUAAGGGAGCAUUUGGGUAUGGGUCCUAUUUUUCUCUCGCCAUGAUGGACAGACACUUCCAUAGUGGCAUGUCAGUGGAAGAAGCAAUUGAUUUGGUUGAUAAGUGCAUAUUGGAGAUCCGAUCCAGGUUGGUCGUGGCACCACCAAAUUUUGUGAUCAAGAUUGUUGACAAGGAUGGAGCAAGGGAGUAUGCCUGGCGUGAAAGUGUCAAGGAUGUUCCAGCAGCCUGAGUUUUCCUGCUUUGAACUUAAUUCCAUGUGUUUUCUUUUUUCCUUUUAAUGUCUCAUUUGAAUGUUCAAUAGGAAUGCUAUAUUUGACUGCUCAGAACUAGUUAAUACACUUGCUUUGUCUUGAAAAGUAAUUUUGAAUGUCACACAACUUCGCAACUGGAAUCCCUCGGUUCCUGUUUUGUGCUUGUCUUACCAAAUGACGAGCUGUAAAGGAAAGUAACGGAAAUGAAGUUAUGACCAUCUGAAUCCUGGGGCAGGAGUAAAAUUCCUUGACUUGAUGUUGAUUGCUGGGUAUAAAUUCUUAGAUGAAAAUCUUGGUACUGAUAUCUGUAACAGACACCCGCUGUCAAGAUGUUUCUUUAAAGAAAUUAGGCCGCUAAUGAGAAGUUAUGGAUUAUUGUUUAGAAGUUAUAGGAGCCUUGGCAGAAAUGUUCUGUUCUUUAAACAGGCGAAAAAUAGAACAGUGAAGCAGAUGGAGAAUUCUAAAAUUUCCAGAAUUGAUAUCUUCGAAUAGAAAUUCUGAACCACAAAAGCUGUUUUAGAACUAAUAAUUACAGCGUACAAUUUGAUUGUAAUAUCGGAUAUUGAGGUCCAGUUCGUUGGUAUGGAUCAGUGACCAAUGUCAUAUUCAUAAUAACAGUUUUUUAUUAAAAUAAUAAUGAAUCCUUUGGACCAUUUUAACCCCCAGAAAAUUCCCGAAUAAAUAGUUUUUACCGAGUGUACACAGUAACCGAUCCACACAAUCAGGACACGAUUUCAGACUCCAGAGAGUGACUAACUCUUCAGAGAAACCAAUGAGACUCUGCCACAUAACUCUUCAGUCUUCUUCUUUAUUCAUUUUUCUAUCUUAAUAUGGUUUGCCAACCAUUGCUCUCUUUUUGUGACUAGUUAGUACAGUGCUGUCGUACUACUGGGAUGGAAACCUUGACCCUUCUUUCAAUUGGAUCUUCUCUCGCCAUUUUCUUUUGUUAAAAGCAGAAACCGAGGUUUCCACUUUCAAGUUCAACCCACCAAAUGACCUCUUCUUUUUCUGUUUCUUACGUUGUAUUUUCAAUUUGAAUCCACUCUCUCAUCUCUCUUUCUCUACUUUCCGCUUAGGUCAAUGUUCUUCUUCCUCCUUUAUGUACAAGUGCUAGAUUAUAAGUGUUACACGUAAUGAUUUAAAUGGGUUUCUUAAUUCUUCUGGGAUCCAUUAAUCACUUUCUCUAAUUUAAAUUUCGAGUUGAUUUCUUGUUUCUGAUAUUGGAUGAAUACAUUAUGAAUGUUCAUGCUUUUAAUUUUUGUUCACAUACAAUGGGUUUUUACCUGUAAUUCUAAAUGUUGAAGCUGUUGUUUUUAUCAGUCAAUUGAAUGAGAGAAGCAGGUUUUGAUUUCUUUCUGUUCACAAUUUUGAUUUCUUUCUGUUCACAAUUUUGAUUUCUUCUUGUUGUAUACUACAUGGGUUUGCUUAUGGGUUGUGGUUAUUGUGAAUUAUAGUAUCUUCAGUUACUACAUUUGUGAUUUUACCCAUAAAGAGUCCAAGACUUUAAACAAGCACUUACUUUUGAUAAAUUCGUUUUUCUGUGUGUGUUGAGCAUGCUUACAAUUUGCUGAACUAGUGGAUUAUUUGGUUAUCUCUGUUUUGUGGUUAGUGAUGGGCACGAUUGAAGGCAAAUGGGAUGAUGAUGAGUACUCAGUAAUUGGAGACAAAGGUGAAAUUGGAUUUAUUGAUUAUCAGGAUGACAAAUCUGUGUGUAGUUAUGAUCCAAUUGAAGAGGGUCCUAUUUUCAUUUCUGUUCCAUUCCCCUUUGAAAAUGGGAAACCUCAGUCAGUGGUUCUUGGAGAAACUGCUUCAGAUUCAAUCACUAUUAAGAACACCACCGAUGAAGCCGUUGAUUUGUGGGCUAAAAUUUAUGCCUCCAAUCCCAAUAAUUCUUUCACACUUUCCUUGAUGGAGCCUCCAUCAGCAAAUGGUGGGAACAGCAGCCGAGGUUUCCUAGAGUCUUUUAAUUUGGAAGACAGAAUGCUUCAGGCUGGUGACUCGUUAACCGUUUGGCUAAAUUGCAAACCACAGGAAAUUGGAUUGUAUACUACAGUUGUGUAUUUUGAUGUGGGAAGUGAUAGAAUUGAACGAGUGGUUUUUCUGUUGGCUGAAGAUAAGAUAUCUAGGUCUUUGGCAUCAAAAAAGCCAUAUUCAAGAACUAGAAGAACGAAGCAGUUUACUGUGGACACAUAUGUUGCAGGUUCACGACCUAUGAGGAAGGCAGGAUGGGCAUUGAAAAAUAGGCUUCCUCGUUAUGAUAUUCCUAUGGAAGUUAGAGAAUUGAUUGAGAGCAAGCAGACCCCUGAUGCUGUCACAGGAGGUCUAACAAGAGAGAAUUAUGCUUCUUAUUUUAAAACCUUGUUGAUCAUGGAAGAAAUACACAUGGAGGUAAGCUUUCCCUUCAGAAAAACAUUAACUAUGGUGGUGUGGAAUAUGUUAUCUAUUGUUUUGAAGUUGGUUAUUUGAUGGUUCAGGAAGACAUGAGAUCUUAUGACAUGGAGGGUGUCAGGAUGAGGAGGAUGGGGAACGUUCUGGCCCUCAUGGUCCCAGGGCUUGCUGAGCGGAGACCUUCACUUGUCUACGGAGAUUACAUCUUUGUCAAGCUUGCAAACGUGGAUAAAACAACCCAGCCAUAUCAGGUUUUUGCUUACAUAAAUUAAACUCUGGUUUGACAUCAUUUUCUAGAGAGUAAGCUUGAACAAAUUCCAGCUGAUAAAAAAGCAGUUGAUGCAUUUUAUCGUGUUCAUUUUUUGUUGACUGUAUCAGUUUUCUUGUUUCAGUAAGCUUAAUCAUUUCCUGCAAAACUAAUGUUUCAGGGCUAUAUUCAUCGUGUUGAGGCUGAUGAAGUGCAUUUGAAAUUUGACCCACAAUUUCACACCUGCCAUUCAGAUGGGAAUCUGUAUGAUGUACACUUCACGUAUAAUCGAGUCAAUAUAAGAAGACAGUAUCAGGCAGUAGAUGCCGCUGAAAAUUUGGAAAUGGAGCUCUUAUUUCCAUCCGAAUGCUUUGGAAAUAGGCUUACUGAAACUGCACCUCUGGUGCCAAUAACUUGUAACCUUAAUGAAGAGCAAAUGUGUUCAAUAGAGAUGAUCCUUGGCUGCAAAAGAGCUCCACCCUAUAUAAUUUAUGGGCCUCCAGGUACUGGUAAAACUAUGACAAUAGUGGAAGCAAUUCUCCAGCUGUAUAAAAACCGAAAGGAUACACGGAUUCUUGUGUGCGCACCCUCGAAUAGUGCAGCAGAUCACUUGCUAGAGAAGCUUCUCCGUGAGAAGGCUGCUAACAUUCGACAGAAUGAAAUAUUCAGACUCAAUGCAACUUCCCGACCAUUCGGAGAUAUCAAGUCUGAUUAUAUUCGCUUUUGUUUCUUCGAUGAGCUUCUCUUCAAAUGUCCCCCCCUCAGCGCUCUCAGACGCUAUAGGAUCAUCAUAUCAACAUUUAUGAGUGCUUGUUAUCUCUAUGCAGAGGGUGUUGAACGAGGUCAUUUCUCUCAUAUUUUCCUGGAUGAGGCUGGCCAAGCUUCAGAGCCAGAAAGUAUGAUCCCUUUAUCCAACCUCUGUGGGAGGGAUACAGUUGUCGUUCUUGCUGGAGACCCCAAGCAGUUGGGUCCUGUAAUAUACUCGAGAGAUGCAGGGGAUCUGGGAUUACAGAAAUCAUACUUGGAGAGGCUUUUUGAAUGUGAAUGUUACUGCAAUGGAGAUGAAAAUUAUAUAACAAAACUGGUUAGGAACUACCGAUGUCACCCAGAAAUUCUAAAACUGCCUUCAGAACUCUUCUAUGAAGGGGAGUUGAUUGCGAGCAAAGAGUCUAAUGAUGAUACCAUUUCCUUGUUGUCUUCGGUAAAUCUGCUUCCGGGAAGGGAAUUUCCUGUCCUCUUUUUUGGUAUACAAGGGUGUGAUGAGAGGGAAGGAAAUAACCCAUCAUGGUUCAACCGAAUUGAAGCAAGCAAGGUGGUGGAGAUCAUAAACAAACUGAUUGCUGGGGGAAAUCUGAAUGAGGUUGAUAUUGGGGUCAUUACACCUUAUAGGCAGCAAGUGCUCAAACUAAAGAAGGCCUUUGAUGAUUUGGAUAUGCCUGACAUAAAAGUUGGCAGUGUUGAACAAUUUCAAGGUCAAGAAAGAAAAGUAAUUGUCAUUUCUACUGUCAGAUCAACAGUGAAACACAAUGACUUUGACAGAGCUCAUUGUUUGGGUUUUUUGAGCAAUCCAAAAAGGUUCAAUGUGGCUAUUACCCGUGCAAUGUCACUGCUUAUCUUAAUCGGGAAUCCGCAUAUUGUCAAUAAGGUAAUACUUUUAUUUGUAGGCCAUUAUAAGAGAUUAGGUCAAGCAAAUAGAAAGAAAUUCAUGUUACUUGACAGAGUAGACUUUCCUAGAGAUUGGAUCCUAGUUAACCCUAGCAUUACUAUUGCACAAACUAUGUAAUAUGCAUAAUCACACAUAUUAUUAUACUCAUAACUCAAUUGAUAGAAUUGUGUCGGUAUUUGCUCCGAGGGUUUGUGCUAAAGUGCGAGCCAACAAUUAAAAUAUGACCAAGAGUAUGAUGUUUCAAACUUAAAUGUCAUAGCCAUAUGAUGCACAUUUAAAGGAACUCUUAUGCCGUGCAUUUGUUUUUCUUACUUUUUGUUGUUUGCAAUUUGCAGGACCCACACUGGAGUAAGCUUUUAUGGUAUUGUGCAGACCACGAGUCUUAUCAGGGUUGUGGUCUCCCAGAAGGAGAAGAGUAUGUUGAAGAAUAUCAAAUACAGGAUGAUGGUGCCAACUAUGACUAUUAUAACGGAAACCCUCAGUCCACUGAAGAGCAUGGAUGGAAUCAAGACUACUGUCAAGCAGAAACUCCAAAGCCUGUCACGGAUGAAACUGAAUGGUCUGAUGGUUGGAAGUAAAAUUUGAUUAAAUCUUCGCGUACAUUAAAACAAUUUAUGUUUAAUUUUGUUUUUGAUUUUAGAUAAGAUGCUUCCCUUGUUUUUGAAGGUGGAAAAUCUGGUGGUAAAUGAGGAAGCAAUAGGAUCUGGUGAAAUUUAAGAGUUGUUUACCAAAUGAAAUAUUUUGACUUGCAGGAUGUAGUGGUCUGAUACCACUGUGAACACUAGAAAGAAAUGGAAUGUUGAUAUUGUAUCUACUCUAGAAUGCUGUUGCCUUUUUGUUAGAGAACAUAUAUGUCAUUACAAAUAAAUGUGUCAACUAAUACACUGACGAGUUUGUUAUUUCAAAACAAGUAGACCCUCAAGUAGAAAUCAGAUUAUUUAUCACGUUACAGAUGAGCCAAGAUGAAAACUGCUGCAGAUGUUAUCAGUGCUUCAGGAAGAAACCAACUGCUAAUAUGUCCCGCUGCAGAUGAAUGGCUGGCUGGUUUUAUCAACUGUGACGGCGGCAGCUUCUCUGCAGUUGGUGUGAAACUCAUUGGUGCAGACGAAUUCUCAGCAUUUCCUGUUGGCAAGUUCGAGUGCUUAAUUAACACAAAACUAAUACUACCGUUAUUUAGAUGCAAUAAUGAACUACUAGAGUCCAGUUACCAGAAUUAGAUGGUUUUUUAGUCACUGGAUCUGUUAUGCUAUGGAGAGGAGGCAGUGCUGGCGAUCCUGUAAUCACAAAGAAUAGACUGAGAGUCGGUCCGUGUGAAAUCUACUGAACCUUUAAAAUACCUUAUAAUUCCUAACGCAUAUAUGCUAACGUGCGCCUAAUAUUCCAAUAUGUGCCAUUGAGCCAUUUGCUGUUUUUUUUUUUUUCACUCUAAUAAACAUCCAAAAAAUCCCUAAUUAAUGACCAAACACCAAAUUAAACAAAGAAAAGUUUUGCAGAUUGCAUCAAAUCAAGAAUUGCGAUAUUAAAACUCUAACCUGAACAAAUCGAUUCGAGAGAUGUGAAAUUCGUCGUUUCUGAACAAACGGAAGGCAAGGACACCACUCUCGAUUGGUUUAGUGGGAAUCCAAAGAUCAGAGGCUGCUUUAUCAGAUAACAGAAGCAGUUACCUUCACUGGAACUGAAAGCUUUCUCUAAAGCAUCGCAGCACUGAGAAGUAGGUGUUUCCGUCAUGUUGUUUGGCUCCGAGGAAAUGUAGCCGAGGCAUGGAGAGAUAGCCACCAGCUCGCCGGUGCAGCUUGCUACUGGUGGCGGCGGACAUGGUGUCUGUGAAGCUGUGGCCAUGAGAAGGAAAAUGACUGGGGCGAAAAUGGUGGUCAUGUUUUUAGAGGGAGAAAGAAGAGAGGGAUUUUGGUGGUUUUUUCUUUCUAGUCAGUUAUAGAUCAGUCUUAUAAUGGCGGGAAAGGGCUUUAGUUUGUAAGUCUGCUUUGACAAAACUGCCCUUCGCAAUUAUUUAACGACGCCGUAUCUAUAUCAUUGCAUUUUGCUUAAUUUUGUUUAUGUUCCUUUUUCUUAUUUUGAGAAGAAAAUAUAUAUAUUCUUGAGUGCUUUUUAAUUAUAAGUAAUGGAUUAAUUGUUAGGAAAAUUAGGGAAAGAAAAAGUGAAUAGGAAAAGGAAAUAUAUUACAAACAAAAAACAAAAGAAACUUGACAGUUCUUCCUGAGCAGGAUUAAUGCUGAACUUGACAGUAACUUUAGAUAAUUGUCUUCUGAAUUAGAAUAUGAUGCAUCCUCACUUUCAUUAACAGAAAAAAAAAAUUAUCAGAACAAGAAAGAUUUUAAACUUCUUGUCUAUUAGUUUUUUCAUCUAGUUCAACUUGGUCUCCAUUGCCCACAAUGCGCUUCCAAAACCAGUGAUUUUGCCAUAGAAGAUACACUUCCUCAAUUGGUACUUGUUUUGUUUCUGGCAGGAGGAAGAAUAUGAAGCUACUCAUUAUCAAAAUCAAGCCACCAAACACCAAGAAUAUUCCAUAUCGAAGAUGGCACAAUGACACCAGAAAACAUUGUGCUAUCAGAGCUGUGAAUAACAUGUUCACACAGACCACCAUGCUCUGCCCUGCUGAUCUUGUCUCCAGCGGGAAGAUUUCGCUAGGAACUAGCCAACCAAGAGGUCCCCAUGAUCUUCCAUACGCUAAGACGAACAAGCAUAUGAUUAUCACUAGGAAGAUGCCAAUUUCUUUUGGAAGUGUCACUCCUUGUCCAAACUUCAAGGCCAAUGUUAUGGCCACAGCCACCUGCAAAUUCAGCAGUUUUAAGUAAGAAUUCGAGGUUAAUUGCUACAUUGAAAUGUUAGGAGAGUGAAGGCUGGGCGAGUGCAGUUACCAUGUAGCACAGCAUUUCAGUUCCAGCUUCCAAAAAGAAGGCUCUUCUACCGUAUUUGUCCACUAAAGCCAUUGAAAUGAGGGCACCAAGCACAAGUGCUCCGCUGGUUAUGACCGAUGAAUAUAGAGCUGCACCCGAACCAAAACCCAGGCUCUGAAAUAUGACAGGAGCAUAAAAGAGUAUAGAAUUCAUGCCGGUGAGCUGCUGGAAUGCAGGGAUUCCUAGUGCCCCUAUUAUCAGUUGCGGGCGAUUCUUUCUCUUGAGAAGGUUCUUGAAUGGAUGUUGUAUUGCUCUUGCUGCAUUGCUUGCAUCAAUAAGAUCAGCAAACUCAGCAUCAACUUUGGCUGUUCCUCUAACUUUCUCUAAUACUUUUCUUCCUUCUUCCAGUCUUCCCUGUUCUACCAGACUGUUUGGAGUCUCCGGGAGGAAAACACCCCCAAUAAACAUUAAAGUUGCAGGAACUGUUGCUAAUCCAAGAGACAAUCUCCAUCCCCAUGGAUGAAUUUUUUCCGUUCCAUAAUUUAUGAGGUUCGCUAUUAAGAUUCCUAAGCAGGUUGUUAGUUGAAACAGUUGGUUAACUGCCCCUCGGAUUUUAGCUGGAGCCAUUUCUGAAAGAUACAAGGGAACUGCCUGAACCAUUAAAAUAAGAAUACAAUCAGCAUCAUAGCUUGGUUUUGCCGUAUGGUACAGAUUGUGCACAUAAAGAAGACUUUCUGACAUUGACACUCAUAGGGGCUAAAAUCAAAGCACCAUAUAAUAAGAUAUUUUGUUUAAGAGAAAUUGACUUACUUGAUUACCAAAUCCAAUGCCUAUACCAAGCAGAAUACGGCCUAUAAUCAGCAUUGCGAUGUUCACUGCAGCUGCAUUGAGAAUUGCUCCUAAGAAGAAGCUUAUUGAUCCGACAAUAAUGCUAGCUCUUCUACCUUUAUUUCUGGUAAUAUAGGAGGCUCCAAACGUAGAAACAAGAGCCGCAAAGUACAAAGAGGAAGUAAAGAGUGUGAGCAUUUGGUUGUCAUAUUUACAGUAAUCUGUUUCGUUGAGAUGUUCUUGCUUCCUUUUAUAUACUUUUGGGAAGAAGUCCUUCAAGAAAUCAUCCAUUGAAGUAACUCCACCUAAAAAUAACCAAGACAAGGUGUAAUCUUAAAUCAAUUGUAAAACAUCUCCUCUUUUCAUUUAUCUGAAAGAAUCAAAGUAAAUAAACUUGAAUAGUUAAAAAAUUUAAACCAUUUCCAUUAUGCAUGCUGCUUUGUUUGUAAAGUAGCUAGACAGAAAGAUGAAGUGAGAAGAUGUCAGAAGUGGAAGAGAAGGAAAGCGUUUCCAUUAAUGGUUCCUAUGAAGUUUUUCUCCCUGGAUUGCAUGUUCGUUGAAUUCCUACAGACAUAAUCUUUUAUAAAAUUAAUUUUCUUGUCUGUCAGAUUAACUUUCACUUGGUGAUAAAAAUCUGGCCUACUCUAGAGAAAACAAUGAAAGUAGAGAAUUCUUUUCCUUUUUAUCAAGUUUCAGGAAUCCAAAUUUUAGCAUUACAGAGUCCUUUUUUUUUUUUUUCUUUGUGGUAUUACAAAGUCCUUUUUCAGUUUGACUUUGUCGGGAACGCCAAAGACAUCACUAACACAAAAAAUAAUCCAAAACACUUCUGUGUUUUCUCUUCUCAGUCUCAUUACUGGACUAAGAAGCAAUAGUGCUACAAGUUUCUUCUAUUUUCAGUUCUAUUUCCACAAUUAGUACUAAAAAUAACAAAGAUUAUACGACAACAUAUCUUCUAAAACUUUCCUGGUCAAAACUUUCAAGAAACAGAGGUAAUAGUAAUAUAAAAGUAAGAAAAGAUAUCUAACCUGAAACACCAAGAUCAUAACCAAAAAGGGAACCACCAAGAGCUGCAACUAUGGAAGAAAAGAUAAAGUAACCAGUGAUCUUAUACUCAUAAAGAUGAGCCCUUUUGAGUGGUCCCCCAUCUGAAAGUCCCCCACCAGCCAUUAUAUCUCUGUACUAGUUCUAUUGUAUGAGGCCAAAGGGCAGUGGAGUAUUUGCGGAGAUACUGAUUUGUUUGGACAGAAGAUGAUGUUAUAGAGGAGAAGAGACAAGUCAACUCUAUCAGAUUGGACUGUGAUAAGUCAGGACAGAUACAAAAACAAUGGAUAUGACAAAACCUUUUUGGAUUAUAAAUAUAUGACCAGUUAUUGUUCCCUCAUUUAUAGGAUUCACUGUUUAGUAGUCUAAACUUUCUGUAUUGGUUUUCUUUUCUUUCUUUUUUUAAGAGAAAAAAACAGUAAAUGUACUUUUCUUAUUUGCAAAUAUACAAUAAAUAUGCAAAUGGAUUUAACUUUGGUUGGGAAGAAAAAAGAUAUUCCAAGAAACUAUUUACCAUCUAUUUAUUUAUAUAUAUUUUUUAUUUAUUUAUUUUUUUGGGACGUUUCACACCUAUAAAUAAUUUAGUAAUGAAUAGGAUCCACUGAUAAAAGAGAAAAUUGGAUUUUUCUAAUUUGUCUGCACACUCUUAAGAACAUCUUCUAUCAUAUUGACCUUUAAGGCAACAAAUUCAUAGAGUACUGAUAUCAUAUGAUAUGCAAGUCAAAGAUAAUGGCUUCCCAUCUCUAUCAAUCAUCCAUUUUGCCAUAUUACUAAAUGGAUGCAUAUAUUGAAAUCUAAGUUGGAGUGACAUUAUCUUUCUUUUUAUUUUAUUUUAGUUUAUUGAUAAAUGUAUUUAAGAUUUAAUAUUUUAUUAUACUUGUCUUUUGAAAGUUUAAUAUUUGAUUAUUUUUUAGGAUAAUUAAAUCCCGGCUGCUACCAACUGGAUCAUUUGAAUUUAAAAUAGUGAUAUUAUUUUUUUAAUUUCAUGGAUUUACAUUUAUAAUCCAUUCAAGGUUUUCAUUUUGUAAGUCAGAUAAAAAAGAGGUAAUUAUGUUUUAAGUAUUGAUAUAUAAUUAUAUAUAAAAAUAGAGUUAUAAUAAACAAAAUGUGCAUGAUAUACAUAUAUAUAUAUAUAUAUAUAUUAUUGUUGCAACUUGCCAAGUUGUUCUAACUUUAUCAUCUCUUUGACUUGAUCCAGUGCCUAACAGCAAACAACUUUAGUUACUAUGAGAUUUUGAAAUUUAUUAGAUUUAAAAUCUAUAAAAUUGUAUUAGCUUGGAUUAAACAUAAAAAUAAUAAAUUUAAUAAAAUUUAAAAAUAAUUUAAAAAUAAAAUAUAUAUUUUUCAUUCCAAUAUUGGAAUAAAUUUAUUAUACUAAUUUAGUUUUAUGUAUUUAUUAUCUAUAUUGAGGCUGAUAUAAAUUUCUAAUUAAAAAAUAAAUGCAAAAAUAGUAAAAAUAUCAACUGAAAAUGUGAUACAAAAUAUAUGAAAAAUUAUUCAUUAUUAAAUUAUGUCUAUAAAACAUCAUCAGUUUUAAAAAGUAAUUAAUUAUUGUAAGUAACAACUUAGGAAGCUAUGACUUUAUUAUGGCAAGUUUUAUUGUAUAUUCUCCUCGGUCAUCGUUAAGUUUAGUCAAUAUUAAUUAAAAUAUUAAUUUUUGUCCGACGAUAGGAACAAACAUAUUGACUUUAAUAUAUUUUCUCAGUAUUGUUAAUACUUGUAGAUCAAACAUGAACACUAAUAUAUAAAAGUGCUCUAAAUUCUUAGUAAGCCUCAAACCCUAAACCUAAAUUCUUUGUAAAAACUAUAUAAACGUAAUAUGUUAAUCGUUUUAUUAGUAUCUGGUAUGGUUGAAUCUCAAAGUUGAGGACCAAUUCUUUAAGAUUUUGAACAUGAACCACAAUACUAAGCAUAGCAAUCUGCCAUGGAAGGAGUAGCAUCACUUUAAUUUAUUGAUAUUGAAAAUAUGAUUUAAAGUAUCAAUACUUGAAGUAGUUACUGUAAUAAAAGAAUUUUAUAUAAUUUUUAUUUUUAUUUUUUUCCAUAUAUUUCAUGUUUUAGAUUAAUAAAUUUCAUGUCAUUGUCAGUUCUAAUUCAUUUCAAAGUUAUGGGUUUGGCUUGAUCAUAUCAGCUUGACGUAAUAUUAUUUAUUUAGAUACAAAAUUACUAUCAUAACUUGAUAAGCAAUUAAGAUUUUGUUACCAUUUAGAUGUUUCGGGGUGCCGUGACACUUAAGCUUUGCUUUAUUAUUGGUUCGUGGAAGAUUGCCAAUUCAUUGAACUAUUAAGAGAUAAGAUUAAGGUAAGCCAAAUUGAUUAGUGGGUAUUCAGUUUUACAACUAUUUUAUUUCAGUUCAAGUAGGAUAGAACGCCUUCAGAAUUUGCAGGGAAAUUGAUCUAUGAACAUCAAGUUUCUGUUAGAUUUGUAUAUUGGUAACUGUUCAAUUAUGAGUUAUUAUUUGCUUAAUGAGGUAGUGCAAGUCUGUUAAUCGUGGAUGUGAUCAGUGUUACAAGCGAUGGUCCUGAUCAAGACAUAUUGAUAAGAUCAGAACAAUAAGACAAAGAAAACCUAAGAUUCUUGUUCUUAAACUACUGAAUUUUUAAGUCUUAAGAAUGUGCACAUAUUGAUUUCACAUGAUAGUCUAUCUUCAAACUAGAAGGGAUUAUUAUGCUAAUAUAAUACAAGAAAGAAAAGCCAAGGAUAGGAACAAACUUCGACGCAACAUAAUCUUGAUCUUGUCUCUUCCUUUUGAUGUCUCACUCCCCUUCCUAGACACAGUUGAUUCAGGAGAAGCAAUUUCAUAAGAAGGCGGCUCUGUUGCUGCAUUUUUAGUGCUAUUGUCCCCAGAUGAGUUUAAAGAAACCUGCAUCUCCUGCGGAGGAGACACAGUUGUAUCAGCAUUUUUGCUUGAAGGUGGCUGUGUUGCCACAGUAGUAGAGCUAUUCUUUCCAGUUGAGUUUAUAGAAAAUUGCAUCUCGUUUGGUGGAGAUACAGGCAUAUCUUCAGGAGGCAGAGAAGGUAGAUUGGUUUGAUUUGUACUGUUGGGUGGAAACAUAAUUGGCAUCGGAGCUACAACUGCAUAAACAAGAAAUCAUAAAACAUAAAAUAGAACUUGACAACGAGAGAGGCUAACAAUUUAGUAAUACCUUGGCAAAGAGUCAAAGGAGGCAAAUGUAUGAAACAGUUUGACAAGGGCAAUGAAAUUGGGGUGUUUAGAAGAGGAAAAGAUGAUGCUAGCAACAAGCAUAAACAAUUAUACCCAGCUCGUACAACUUUAUUCAGAACUUCGCAGCACGUACCAUCAAUAGAAAAAGAGCUAUUUCUUUGAAUCAAACAUAGCCCCAGGUCAAUUCCCUGAAUGGAGCAAACCUGGCUUUGGCUUUCUGUUGUAGGAGCUAGAACACUGAUCACGAAAAUGAAGAUCCAAAUAAACUUGAAAGGAAGCAGUUUUCUUGAACCCAUGAUUGCAGAGCUUGAAUGUUUUGUCACGAUCAGUAAUACAUGUGCCAACUGUAGGACUAGUUAGCAUGUUCUAACUUACUCGUAUCAUCCCAAUUGAACCUUCUCAGGUUUUUCCAUUUCCUUUUUAUUUUUUUCUUUGCCCUUUACUUGUUAGUUUUGUCAAAGUUCAGAAUAGGAAAAAAGACAAUUGCAGUUUAGUCUUAUACUUAAUUAAUUAGAUCAUUAGUUAUAUUUCAGCUACUGGUAUAUCAGUAUCACAUCAUCUUAAUUAAACAAAUAGGAUCAAUCACACAUAUUGUGAAGAGUCAUGAAACCACAGAAGCAUAAUUCACAACUUUUUAUGACAGGAAAACCAGGAGGUCUUUAUUUGAUGAGAGGGGAAAUGGAUAUUUGCAUGAGCAUGGCAUGAAAUUAAAAGAAACAAAAAGGUCCUCUGUUCUAAUUUGCUAUCAUGUAGAAAUUUUAUUUUAAAAUGAUGGGUUAUGACUUAGAAGGGAUUAUACAAUUAAUUAACUAUUAUUAAUUAAAUCUGGGGAGGCUAUAAAAGUUUACUGGUACGUUAUUAAUUAGCAUUAAAAGUUCUAAUCUUUCAGGAAGAAAGCUUUAUUAAACAAAAUAAGCAAAUCAUUACGUUCACUAAUACGUGAAAAUUAUACAGAUAUGAUUUAAUUCAAUAAAUAAUCUCCCAAUAAGGCCCUCAAUCGUGUCAAUAAUUAUCCAAAAAAAAAUAGUAAUCACACACCAAAAGAAUAAUUCUAAUGAAAAGUUACAUAUGUAAGUCUAGUAAUAUUUCAAAACUAAAAAUCCUAUUGCAAAUAGCAGAACAGAAGGUGAAAUGCUGUAAGAAGGGAUUGCAGCUGAUGGAGGAGUCAAAACCGGGCGACUUCCAGUAGUUGAAGUUGGGGCACCAGUAUCUACCGUUGGUGAUGAUGGAGUCAGGACUGGUGUUGUGCUGGAUUCUGGCGGACUAGUUGAUGGUGUUGGUUCAGGAACAACUGAAGCUGCUUAACGAUUACAAUUUUAGUAUUAGCACUAGUAUUGGCAUUAAGAGGAUCAUUAUAUUUGUACCAUGAAAGUGUACAAUUGAAGCAUGCUGAUUACCUUUAGGACUAGCAGAUGGAGAAAUUCGAGGAGAUGGAGUCGGUCCGAGUGAGGCAGGACCUGCAAGUACUAGCUUAUCAGCAUACAGUAAAAUCAUAUGAAAGAAAAGAUGGUAAAAAGGGCCUCAAGACUAUCAUGAUAAGUUCAACGUUAAUUAUACCUGGAGCAGGAAGUGGCGAACCAGAGGCUACAAAACAAGAAAGAUUUAAAUCAGUACCUUAAAUAUAUAUGUUUAUUUUGAUAUAACAUUCUAAUGAUGAGGAUUUGUAAGAGAUUCUUCACCUUUGCAUUGAACUGGGACGCCAGCCAUGUUACAGGCACGAGGGAGAGAGAUGGCUAAGGUUCUAUUGAUAGGAAUUUGGAAAGGAACACUUCCAGUUACAAUAAGGCACAGACAGUCCAUGCCAUUCCCUGUGAGGUUCUUAAGUGAACUGCAGCAGUCUGAAGUUGGGGAAGUACCAUUUGCCGUGCUAUUUGUAAGGAAACUCAUACAAGGAGUGAAGACAGAAAGCAACGAAGGCGUACAUGGGGUAUUGAUCUGGCCAUGAGCAGGAAAAAUCAGAAAUAUUAAAGCUACUGCUAGAGCUGGUAUCAUUCUUGAAAAGGGCACAAAAAGGUCCAUAUGGGCUUUCAAAGAAUGAGUUGAGAGUAUUAGAAGAGAAAAUUGGAGAUGAUUGGUUCUUGAGGUUUGGUGUGAUUGGUAGGGGAAAAAGAUUAGUGAAUUUAUAGCUGGAGUUUACGUAUUGAAGUGGAGGGAAAGAGAUCAGGUAGGUUUAUUGGUUUUGAAGCUCAACUACCAUAACCAACUUGUAACUAAUGAAAUUUUUUUGAGUUAGCCACCUGGUUUAUCUUCUGGACCCUGUUUUGACUUGGCAUUUCGGCUCACCUGGUGGCCCUUGAUUAGGCCUACUCUUUUUUUCUCUUCUACCCUUGUUAAAGGUCAAAUGCAAUUUUCUAUCUUCUCAAAAGGUAGAAAAAAAGAUGAUUAUAGCCAAUAAGGGUCACUAAAACAAAUUUCUUGACCUUGUACACCAAUUGGAAGCAAUUCUCCAUUCCCCUUAAGUUUCAAGUGGUUAAGGCAUUCCAGAAGGAGAAAAAUUAAAAAACAGAUGCCCAUAUCAGAAAAGCUAAUACAUUUUUAUAAGUAAUUGAUAUUUCAACUUCUCCUUCAGUCAUAUCUCAUCCAAUCAAAGGCCUAACUAAACCCUAAUAGGUUAUUAUCAGAGUAUGUUGUUGUGAGAAAAUAUAACCACCGGUUAAUUCAAUUGGCAGAAAAAUUUACUAUCUAUUCUAUCAUUCCGAAUUUAUUCUUGGCGGUCAGCACCCAAAAUAAUAAUUUCUGAAUAUAUAAGGGGCUAAAUAUUGGAUGUAUUUGGACUCACAUGAACAUACAAAUUAGUUCCAACAUCACCUAAUUUUUUAUUUAUAACAAAACAUAUUCUUUUGUCGAGAUGCCCAUUUUCAUUAAACUUUUAACUGCCCCCAUUUCUAGAAAUUGAAAUUCCAUAUAAAAUGAUGCGAUAAAUAUAGUAGUUAGGUUAUCCGACUGCUCGCCAUCCAUUAUAUCCAAUCUAAGGCUGCUGCACAGAAUCAUUUCAAGCAGCAUAUUGCGAAUGCAUGAUAACAUUAAUUGUGCAAUGCAUCUUUAAACUCAUAACACCCUGAAAUGACACGUUAUUAGUUUCUUAAAUUAAUCGCAAAUCUUACCUCAUGUUGCCUCUUCUACUUCACCAAUGUGUAACAUGAAGAGUUUACUAUUCAAAUAAACUGCUGAGAAAACUUGGCAAUAUAAAUUAGUCCCUGAGAAAACUCAACACUCAAAUAAGAACAUUCUUUUACUAAAUAAUCCUGCACUAAUCUGAAACUUCAGUAUCUUUUCCAAGAAUCAAACUAUACUAGCCAACAUGGCCUCAAGGGGACGUGGCCAUGUUGAUGGCAUGUGCCGUGGCUCAAUCUGGCUGCACUAUGGCCUAGCUCCAUGCGUAAACUAUGCUACUGGAAGCUCAUCAACCCCGUCUUCUUCAUGCUGCUCGCGGUUGGCUAGCGUUGUCCAAUCACAGCCGCGAUGCCUCCGCACAGUACUAAAUGGUGGUGGCGGCGCAUCAUUGGGCGUUACUAUUUACCAGACACUCGCUUUAGCAGUUCCAGGUGCUUGCAAUGUGCAAACCUCUCCUGUUAGCAAGUGCAAUAGUAAUGCUAGACUCCAUUUCAUAAAUUUUUCCCCAUUAAAUAGAUUUUAUCAGGAUUUUGUACAUUAUAUUAUAAGUAUAAUCUUACUGGUUAUAAAUAAUCUGCGAAUGUGUUUUGAUCUAUCACAGAGCUUGAAGUCUAAUGCUCUUCCAAUGGCUUUAACGUCGAUAUGACUCUUCAGCUGGUUCUCUUUGCAAUGUUCACGGCAUCAUGUGGCUCAACUUUUAGCAGCUUCUUCUGAGUUCUACUUGGGGUGUCUUUGAGCUUCUACGUACCUAUAUAUAUCUACUAUUUGAGAUCUUAUUUGUGUGGCGUGUUUGGUUUAAUGUAUUAUUAUUAAGUCUAAAAGAGCUUGCAUUGUUAUUUUCUUAGUAUUCUGUAAGUGAUUGAUGUUGCUUAAAGUGUUCCUAGUCUUGCUUCACUAUAUUAGUAUAAUAAAAUGCAAGCUUCAAGUUUGGGUUAUUAUGUUCUUUCUUGGUGUUGCCCCCAGUGGCUGAUCCCAAAACUCCAUAUCUAUCAUUAGAUACAAUAUUUAAGAGUCCACUUAGAACAUGCUUAAAAUUUUACUGCAGAGUUAAAUAAAAUGUCUUUUAUAACUUCAAAUUUACUCAUUUUGGAUAUUUAAAGCCACUCUAGUCCUGCCAAUAUACAGAGUAUCAUUAGCUUUUGAGUUUUCAGAUGAAUUUCAAUAUUAAUGAGGUUUAAAAUUGAGCUGAAAACACUUUUUUUUUUCCUCUCUUGCACUGGGUUUCAAAAUGCAAGCUUUCAGUGCACAGUGCUGAUCUUGAAAGAAAGAGAAGAUAAAUAAAGAAAGCUGAGGCUGACAAUUAUGGUUCGUCAAAACUUUGUUUCCGAAUUAUAUUCGCUACCCAAUUUAAGAGUCCUAAUUUUGAAUUUUCUCAUUACUUAUUUAUCAAUAUUAAUAAGACAUUAUUAAUCAAAAAAAUAAAAAUUAAUAAGACAUUAUUGAAUCAAAAAAUAAAAACUAAUAAGAUAUUAUCACUUUAAAAAGUAAAUUUAAGAGAAUAAUUAUCUUUUAAUGGCAGCUUAUCAGCCUUAAUAAUGUGUAUAUAUAUAUAUAUAUAUAUAAUAUCCCUACUAAAGCCACACACAUGGGAAUGUCUCCCACAGACCUAGCCCUUGCCCGAUCAGAAUGCCUGACACUGUUAUAGCAAGGUCUAAUUGAACCCACUACUUCACCAAAAAGGAGCCGAGAGCUGUUCAUGGCAUAAUCCUCAUGCUGUAAACUCAAAGUAUGGACAGAUCCUCAAGUUAAGACACAAGCGACCUCUUGCCACGGGGGUCUUUCUACUCUUUUGGAUCUUUAGAUAGCUGAGUUAGCUCUUUUGGAUUACACCAGAAACAGAUCGUAGCAACUAUUAGAACAUUGUCAUUGGAUCAAGAGAAGAGAAAAGAGGAAGUUAGAAAGCCAUGAGAAAAGGGAGUAUAGAAGAGAGGGAAGCUUACUUAGAGAAACUUGCUUGGAUUUUAUUACCAAAGACUUCUCCUUAUAUAGAGUGGAGAGUCGGUACAAUCAUUCAAAAGUUAGUGGAUAUCCCACUAAUACUAACAAACAAAAGUUAGUGGAUAUUCCACUAAGGCUAACAAUAAUACACCACAACUAUAGCCGACUAUGGCGGCCCACUACUAUCACCAAUAAUACACUCCACUUACUGAGUGGAUAAUAAUACAUAAUAAAGACAAACACAAUAAUAUAGAAGAGUAGUCCAAACACAAUAAUACAGAAGAGUGGCCGACAGUUGCAUGUGAUCAGAAGACGUCAUCAUAUGAGUCAUUAUCCAUUGGCUGGGAGUCUUGCAUGAGAGCUUCUUGCUGUGCCCUGGUUAAGGUAGGGUCAUCUAGUGGAGUUAGAAAAUCAGAGGAGCAGAAAUGUUCAAUGGAUUGUCCAGUUAAUUGAUGUCCAUUGAAUGUACAUACUAAUGGUGUUAAGACAUUAGUCAUCCUUGAUUCAUUUCUGUAUUGCAGGGCCUGUUUUAGGUCUUUUGUGAUUGCUGGUGAAGCAAGAUGUAGAGGGUUAUUAAGUGUUCUCCAAUGGUAACAGAUAUUCUGGGUUGCAUAUGUAUUUUCUGUCAAUCGGAUAUAAGGCCUGUGUAAUAUAAAAAUAGCAUGGUAUUCCGAAGCUUUGGAAAUGUUGUCUGAGAAUAACCGAUGCUCAUGGAUAAGUUUCAGGAGCUCUCCUGUCCAUUGAUAUGGCGUUUUGAACCAGGUAAGGAAUCUCCAUGGAUAUGACCCUGAGUUUGCUUCAUUGUUGAAGAAGUGUAAAAGAUUCAUAAUGGGUACUUCUAUAGCAUGAUGGCAGACUGUAGAUAGGCACCAUAGAAACCAUAACUCACUUUCAUGCUUUGGAUGUUCAGGAGAUAAGUGAUAAAUCAGACAUCAAGGGUAGUCUGGAAAGAAGAAGUUGGGUUGUAUUGGGAGUGAGAAGGUUUGUUGAAAAGUUGCCAAAUAAUGGAACAUCAUGUUCCGGGCAAAGUCAGUGACUUGUUUGGUUGUGAGGUUGUUGGGAAGAUCUGGUGGUGAAGGAGGUUGCAGGUUGGUUUUGGAAGAUGAAGAAGCCAUAAAGAUUAUGGGAAGAUUUAUUGUAGAAGUGAGAAGGACUAUAGGUUGAUUCUGAGGUUUGGAAAGUCUGGAUAAGAAAUCCGGGAUUAGGUUUCUUAUCCCUUUUAUAUGCUCAACCUUAAAGUCAUACCUGCUGAACCAUGAUUUUAAUCGCAAUAAUUGGGGCUCAGGCAAGGUCUUCUGGUUGGAUUCAAGAAUCUUUGGGAAGGAAGAGUUGUCCAUCCGAACCAGGAAGUGCUGUCCAAUCAGGAAGAAUUCAAACUUUUUUAUCCCGUACUUGACCGCCAAAUUUUCCUUGUAGGUCGUGUGAUAAUGUUUUUCUGAAGAGGAAAACUGACCCGAUGCAUAUCCACAUAAUUGUUCCUUGUCGUGGAGCUUUUCUAGGAGGAUGGCCCCCCAUGCAUAGUCAGAUGCAUCUGUUUGGAGAAUAAGUUCUCCUGCUGAUGGAAUUGUAAGAGGUGGCGGAUUGUGAGCCAGCUCUUUUAAUUUUUUGAUAGCUGUUGUUUGUUCCGCUCCCCAUGGAGGAGGGUUCUUCUUGAGCAUCUUUGAGAGGUGGCACGUGUAACUAGACAGGUGUGGAAUGGCCUCUCGAACAUAGUUCAGAAUUCCAAGGAACUGUUGAAUUUGUUUUACUGAUAAAUUCCCUUCUGGAAAAUUAUCAAGUUCCUUUGUCAGGUGGGGACCAUAUGUGUACUGGCCAUUCUUGAAAUGCAUUCCGAGAAAUUCAAUUUCUCGUUGGCCAAUAGUGCUCUUCUUUUCUAACAGCAUAACGCCAUAUUUCUGGAUGAUGGCAAGGAACUGUUGUAACAGUUGGUGAUGGUCCUCUGCUGUUUCUGAGAAUAGAAGGAUGUCGUCGAUGUAGAUUUAAGAAGAGUAAAGGAUAGGCCCAAAAAUCUCAAUCAUUGUCUUCUUGAAUUGAGAUGGGGCCGUCUUGAGCCCAAAGGGCAUAACAAUGCACUGGUAUUGGGCAUUAGGGAUACAAAAUGCAGUCUUGUAUCUCUCUGUGGGCUGGAUACCGAGUUGCCAAAAGCCCGCCUUUAGGUCAAAUUUGGAAUAGUAUUGGGCCUUUUGGAUGUGGACCUUGAGAUUUGAGAUCCGAGGGAGAGGAAAUUUAUUGUCUUGAAGGAAAUGGUUUAAGGGCUUGUAGUCUAUGACAAGCCUCUUCUUUCCUCGGAUCCUUUCAGACCUUUUUUCCACAUAAAAGGCUUGGCAAGCCCAUUGUGAAAUAGUGGGUUCAAUUAGACCUUGCUGUAACAGUGUCAGGCAUUCUGAUCGGGCAAGGGCUAGGUCUGUGGGAGACAUUCCCAUGUGUGUGGCUUUAGUAGGGUUAAUGUCUUCAUUAAGUUUGAAGGGGAGGCUGAUAUAGAAUUGUGAAUUUUUCCACAGAGGAAGAGGAUGUUGAAAAUGUGAAUGAGAUUCCGGACAGAACUGGAGGAAUUUUUCUGUGUAUGGAAGGAAUGGUGGAAUAGUAUCCGUCAUAGAAAACAGAUUUGAAGUUUCAGUGUAUGGCCGAAACUGUCUCUUGAACUUUAUGCCAAUUGGAAGAAUUUGGAGCUUUUGAGCUUGGUGAUAAACAUCAAAUCCUAUCAGGAUAUCCUUGUUUGGAAGAUCUGAACUAAUGAUGUGCGUCCAUACAACGCAAUCAGGAAAGAACUAUAUUCCGAUCUUCUGUCUUGUGAUCAGAGUGGUUUUGAAGGUUUGACCAUUGGCUGCCCUGAAGAACUGAUCAUGGGGCUUCCAAUACUCUGAUGGGAGAACCAUUGGGUUCAUCAUGCUUCUUUGUGCUCCAGUGUCAAAGAAAGCUAUUACUGGUACAGGCUUGGAGUAUUUUGAUGAUAGUAUCUGUAUGGGAAUAUAUGGGACUGGAGGAGGUUUUGUAGUAAAUUGAAAAGUUUCAGGAGGUGGAAAAGAAACAAACAAAGAAGACAGUAGGGUUGGAGAGAGAGGAUAUUGUAUUACAUCUUCCAGAAUACUCUCCUGACUUUCUUCAUGCAGACCAAUCAUCAAGAUUGGUAUUUCACUAUCGUCUGAGUCUGAAGAAGAUUCUUGUGUGGACUCUGUAGAGUCUGAGAAUUCUAUUUCUAACCCAAAUAAACUUUCUGGGGUAAGAUCUUCUUGCUCUGAAAGUAGAGAUUCUAUCUCCUCUUCAAAAGAGUCUGCAAGAGAUAAAGAUAUGCUGACUUGUUGAAUCAUCCUUGCUGACUUUUCUGGAUUCCUAGGACAAUUUUUUGCAUAGUGUCCCUUCCUUUUGCAGAUGAAACAUCUGUCAGACUUGUACCCCUGGUUCCGUUUUUUACGGAAGUAUUUGAAUCUCUUUGGGUUCUUUUUCCUGAACUUCUUAUUGCUGCGCGUGUAUUCCUGGAAAUGAUGUCCAGAUUUCUUCUUAUGAUUUGUACAAACGCAGUUGGCGGCUUUGCACUUAAUCUUGAGGUGGUUCUUGUUGCAAGCCUUUUGGACUAUCAAGUCCCUUUGAGAUAACCUUUUGAAUAACUCUUGUUGAUCACACAGUCUCUUAAUGGAAGAGAGUGUGAAUUGCCAGAUUUCGCCAAGUGUAAUAGAGGUGACUGGUCUCUUUGUAGCCGCAAUCAUAUUGUUAACCUCAGGUUGUAUUUCAUCUGGCAGAGAGGUGAUGAAGGUAUAUUUUAGUGUAUCGUCACCAUCAUAUCCUCCAAUGACAUAGUAGAGCUUGGACAUAGCCGAAUAGUGCUUUUCCAGAUUCUUUAUCUUUAAUGAACAGCAUUUUCGAUCAAAGAACUCUUGUUUCUGUUGUCUUAUGACAAGGUCAUAACUUCCAAGGAACUGGUUAUGGAGAAUCGUUACUGCUGCUGAUGGAGUUGGCAGAGUGACAAAUUGAAGCCUAGUGUAUUCAGGCUGAGACUGAAACCAAUCUCUUAAGCUUCCGGUAAACCUUGUGACAAAUUCGGCAAGGACUUUUUUGAGUGUGGCCCCUUCAAGGGUCAUCUGAAGAUCAAUCCAUGCCAAAAAUUCGGAAAGCUUAUCCUUCCAUUUUGAUAGUGGUAAGUCAUCAAAAGUGAACCAAGGUCCUGUGCUAGUUGUUUUUGACCUUGGGUUUGGAGCUCCAGUGGGAGCAAAAAAUGACUGAGCAUCCUCAUCUUCAGGUUCCACUAUUUCUGGACUGGGAUCAGUAGCAGAAGUGUUCAUGAGGAUCUCAGUGAUGUCCGCCAUCUCUGAAUUAUCUGAAGAGGAUUCUGAAUCAUACGGACUGAUGAGAGAUUGCUCUGGAAGUUUGUCUUUAAAGGCUAGAGGAGGAGAGGUUUUCUUUUGCUGGGUUUCUGAGUUUUUUGGGUAAAGGUGAGAGAAUGUGCCAAAGGGCUGAUAAAGGGUUUCUUGUGGUUGUUCUGGUUGUGAAAGAAAAGGGAAAGAAGAAAAGUACGAAGGAGCAAUAGCCGAUGAGGUUGAAGCUGCUGAUAUGAAAGUUGGGAUUGCAGCAGACUGGUUUUUCCGGAGAUCAUUUUCAAUUUGAUCUAUCUGCUUCUUCAGCCGGGAAAUCUCCUUUUGCUUUUGCAUAAAAGAGGGGGUGAUCGGCUGAGGUAUCCGGAGUUCUUUGUCCAAAGCUUGAUACUUUGCUGUCAGGGAUGAGUACAGUUGUAGGACUUCUUGUGAAAAAGUAUCUAGCUUGUGGUCUAUGUUUUGAACCAAGUGUAGUGCUUGAUCCAAUUUUCCAUCUAUCUUCUUCAAAUAAGUGUUUUGGAUAAUAGAAUUAGAUGUUUGCCAGUUGAGUACUUCUUCAGGGGGUGUCAGCGGUUCUAAGUUUCCAGAGGGUGAGAUCCGUGUAGGAAGGAUUUCAGAUCUUUUGUUCUCUGUUUUUCCCAAGGGAGGGAAAUCCUCUGGUUGUAACAUGAAACAUUCUUGAACCAAGGGUUGUACCGCUGAUACAGGUGACAGAGAUGAAGUAGGUCCAAAAGUUCGUGGCAUUGUUAUACCUGGCCCAACGUUUUAUACCUCAUGUACUAAACUGGAUGGGUACCGGGUUUCCAGCCUAUAAACCUUUGGAUUUGACUGAAUCUCCGUUCUGCAAGCUGCAGAAGGGGGUUUACCAUAUUCAAUGUUGAUUUGUGCCAUAAUUUCCUUGAACUCAUCAUAAGAAACGUCAAUGACUGUUUUUCCUUCUUUGGCAAGAAACUCAAUUGCCUCAUCGAACAUUGGCAGUGGCUUUUUAUUUUUCCUCUGGGAACCAUCUGGAUCCCGAUCAUCUGGCUUAGGAUGAAUCUCUGAACAAGAAGUAUCCAGAGACAUCUUCUUUGGAUUCUUCUGUGGAUGCUGAAAGCAGGGUUCAGCAUAAUCCAUAUCAUCAUUACAUAGGCAUUCUGGCUUGCAUAUUUCUGGGGCUACAUCCGAGACAAAGUGUCAUCUGACUUGUGCAGCAUAGAUCUGGUUGCCAGAUGCUUGAAAGGAGUGAAUAGGGAUCUUUUCCCUAGGCCGUGAUACAUGUUGUAUCAUUGAUGCUUGGAAAAUUGAUGGUGCUGAGGAAGAUUCCUCAGUUCUUGUAAAGACCGUCUUAACAGUCCCAUCCUUUUGCUGAAUAAAGAGGGGAUCUGUGGCUUGUACUGGCUUGUACUGGUUUUAUUUAUUGUAAUGUAUAUAUUUAAUGCAGAUAAGAAUUAAGAGAAACAAUUUGUGAUGAAUUGCCUAAUCAAUCCACACAGUAACAACAAUGAUAAUAAUAAUAAUAAACUUCAAAACAGUAUAUUAAUUGAGUAGAAACUUGUUUUUUGUAGCCGGCCCAAGCCCGACCCGUUCCGUUAAACUAUGGUCCUUUGUUUUUUUUUUUUUUUUUUUUUUUUUUUUUUCUUUUUCUUUUUGAGGCGACUAUGGUCCUUUGUUAAUAUUCAUCUUUCAGGUUCCAAAAUGAACUGAAACUUCAAUUUCGCGCCUCUCUUUCUCUCAGAGUUCGCAGAAUAAGAAAAAAGAAAGAGUUGAACUUAAUCACUACAAUGGAAGAUUUCAAUAAUCUCACCGGAGAAAACGAUGAUGAAUCAGAAGAAUUAGUACAAGAAAGAAAAGGCAGUGUUUUCUUGCAGCUAAAACCUUACUGCUUAGAGCUUCUAGAACUUGUUCAAAACCCUAAAAAGGACUCCUCUGCAAUCCCUUCUCUGCUCCGCUUCCUUCAAUCCUCUCCCUCUGUUUCUCUCCAACCAUUCUUUGAGUAAGUCUAUUUUUUUUUUAUCUCUUUCAAUUUGUCUCAGUUGAAAUUUCUUUUAAAAAAAUUUUUAGAAAAAGAUUUGAAUUUAUUGUUUAUUUUGCCAUAAUUUUGAGCUUUUUAGGAAUCAUUUUAUUCCAUUGAUGAAUAAAGUAGUAUAAUUUUUAGUCUUUUGUCAUUACUAAGAGAUAUCACAGUGCACUCUUUAUUUAUUUGCAAAGUUACUUAAAGGUUGUAUUUUACUUAUUUAUUAUUUUUCUUCAAUAAGGUGGUCCAUGGGUGUAUAUUAGUGUGUGGUUGGAUUCUGUCCUCUUUUGUACAGAGCAACUCGAUAAAAUGUUCAUUUGAACAUUGUAUCCGUGAUGUAGUUAUUGUUUUGAUUUAUCUUUUUAACAAAUAUUCUUCUUUAUACAUGUUUCAGCUAUACUUUGUUCCCCUUGCUGCUUCUAUUGGAUGCAGCAGUUGAUAGCAGAUCACAAAAGAAGAAUGAUAUUGAGAAGAAUGCUGCUGCCACAAAUACUGUCUCAAAGUUGCCUCAUAAAGUCAGCGACAGAGUGGCAGAAGCUGUCUUGCAAUGUUUGGAGGAACUUCUUAAAAAGUGUAAUUUAGGAUCUGUGGAUCAGGUGCUGGUCUAAUUUUGAAAUUUACUUUUUCUUGGACUGCAUUUGCAUUUAUGUAAUGUGAGUUUCUGAAUUGUUUAAGUCUACUGAACUUUGUGAAUUUAAUGUUAAGUUAACCACUAGGUCAAAACCAUAAAAUCAAAUGCUCUCUUAUUCCGUAUUUUUUAAUGAGAAUUGUUUCCAGUUCUGCAUGAAACUUGAUUUUAGCCUAGUUGACUCGAAUAAAUACUUAAUACAUAAAUCUGAAAGGUUAUUUGACUAGUGCAUUUGUGUCUUACUGUUUCAUGAAAUGUGAUGAUGUGCUCAGAUGAUUGUACUGAUGAAAAAACUGACUCAUGCGGCUUUGCUUUCUCCCCUUGAGGCUUCUGAAGAGUUUUGUGAAGGAGUAAUAAAGUGUUUUAAGGCUCUACUUUUGAGAUUAUGUCCAUGCUCAGAUGAAGCUUGCUCUUGUAGGCAAAGUCUCGGUUUGCCUGCAUUGUUAAAAAGUGCAGAUAUGCAAAUUUGUGAGACUUCAAAUUCUGAUGCAGAACAAGGGGAAUGUUUACUUGCAUUUCUCCAGUCUCAAGCUGCUGCACCUGGUGUUGGACACUGGCUAUCACUUCUGCUCAAGGUACAUUGUAGAUGCUCUUUCCUAGUCGUUCUUUUGGUCCAUGAAAAUUUCUUUUCUCCAAUUACUUCAUAAGUUUGUUUUGUUUCUUUACUAAAUCUUUCAUCCUAUACUCUAUGGAAUGAAUCAUGGAUUUUACGCAAAGGCUGCAGAUAUUGAGGCCACAAGAGGACAUCGAGGCAAUGCGAAGAUCCGUGUUGAGGCCUUUCUGACCUUACGUGUUCUUGUAUCUAAGGUGAUCAUCUAACAACUAUAGAUUGCUUGAAUUUGAGGGACUGAAGUUCCUCAUUUGUAAUAAUUCAUUUGUUUAUUAAUCUAGUGCAUUACUAGCUUCUUCUUUUUCCCUUAGUACAUGCUCUGCUGUUAUAAGACAUGCUCUAAAGUCUUUGGUUGUUUAAGUUUGAGAUUAUGUUAGAUGGAUUGAAUGAACCCAAUUAAUGUUUACCAAGACGAUCAAUUUUGUCGAUGUCAUGUAACUAUGAUCUAAUUCCUGGGGUCACUUUAUGUUAGGGUGCAAUUAGAACUUUUCUGGCCUUGUCCGUUUUAAGGAUGUUGCUUGACAGAUAUGCUCUGGUACAGAUUGAGUUUCCAACUUUCAGUGUAUCUUAUCAUUAGAUAUUGUCCCUAAUAUAUCUCAAUAAGAAACAGGAGAAAAAAAAAAACUUUGAUAAAAAGGGUUGGUUAAAAGCGAAAAGUAGAAAACCCUGUGGUUUCAUUAUUUCACAAUUUUUUGUAAGUAUUUUUUUUAAACAGAAAAAGGUACAUGGCUCUAGUUUGUUAUAAAAAUAGGUGUUUCAUUGUUGAAAGAGCAGUGUUAGGAACUGUUCAGCUCCAAACCAAAGUUUUCAUACGCGAACAGUACAAAAAUGAUGGUUGAUCAAAGGCAAGAUGGCUAGGUCCUUACGAAUCGGAGAUCUCAAUGGUGAAAUACCUAUUUUUGACAACAAAUUGUCACCACAUUCCUUUUUUGAGCUAAAAAUAAACACAUACAAAAAACUGUCAAAAAAUGAAAUCACAAGAUGCUUUUUUUGUAUUUUUAUCUAGUUAAAAAUAUAUUAGCAUGUGAAUAUAUUUCAACUACUGUUUUCUAUUGCAGACCUCUUGUUAUCAGUGUGAGACAUUGCUUAAUUUAAUAAUGAAGUCACUUUAUGCAGGUCGGGACUGCAGAUGCAUUGGCUUUCUUUCUUCCUGGCGUCAUUAGUCAAUUUGCUAGAGUUUUGCAUGUGUCAAAAACAAUGAUAAGCGGGGCAGCUGGAAGUGUAGAGGCUACUGACCAUGCAAUUAGAGGCUUGGCCGAGUAUCUUAUGAUAGUUCUUUGUGAUGAUGCUAAUUUCUCUAGCCUUGAUGUCUCUUCAAAUGAUUUGGCUGGGUUUAGUGUGAAUAAUAAUGAAUCUAUCCAUUCACUUCUGGAUGAGCUUCGCCAUUUGCCCAAUAGCAAUCAAGGUAAGAGAGAUAAGGUGGCUGAAGAAUCGAACGGUGAAGCUUUAAAUAUAGGUUCCCCUGCGCGCAACAAAUUUGGAAAGGAAAUAGGGUCCUUGCAUGUGGACCGUACAAGAGAUUGGAUCAAGAAAACUGCAGUGCAUCUGAAUAAAGUUUUAUCUGCUACCUUUCCACAUGUAUGACUUUGUACUCCAUUUUGGUAUUCUGCCGUAAGCUGUUUUUGAGGCUAUAACAUUUACAUCAAAAUUCAUGAACGAAUUCUCAAGUCUUAGUUGCUAUCUCUUUCUCAAAUUCUUUUUGUUAACUGUUAAAUAUUUUAAAUUUUGGUCAGAUUUGUGUUCAUCCAGCAAAAAAGGUGAGAGAAGGACUGCUGGGUGCCAUACAAGGACUCUUGUCAAAGUGCAGUUACACUCUAAAGGAUAGCAGAUUGAUGCUUCUGGUAAGCUGCCAGCUCAUGUUGGUACUUGUAUGCAAUAAACCUAUCAUCUUUUCAGCAUUCAUACGAAAUCUGGGAGUGAAUUUAAACAUUUUUCUCCUUCAUGAUAAUUUUGCUCUUGCUGACUAGACGGUAAAGUUUGAUGUUCAACAUGCAUGGUAUUUUUGUGGGAGAGAGAGGAGAAGGGGAGGGGGAAGUCUCAUAGUAGUCUCUGGACUAUGGAGUUGUCAUGCUGUUGUAGGGAAAGAAGUAAGGUGUUCAUGCCCAAUGCAAGUUUUAGCAUGAUGAAUUUUCAGAUUUUAUGAUUAUUAUUUAGCAACUGUGAGUAGAAUAUCGACAAUGUUGUUCCAUCACAGCGUUAUAGUUUCUGAGACAGGUCGUGAAAUAUCAGUCACAGGAGCUGGCACAUGCUUCCUUUAUGGCCAGAACAUCACUUCAUUUACAGUUGAUUCAUGAAAACCAAUCCUGUGAGAGUUGGUUGCGGGCUCACUGCUUGAACAAUUAUUAUCCCAAUCUCACACAUUACUUAUGUGAGAGUUGUGGUGUUAGCCUCAUUGACGUCAUAUCUAAAACUGUUCAAUAUGGAUGCACGAAUUGAACCUUUAAAUUAAGUUAAUUAAGUUAUAUUCCCAUCCUCUCCUACCAGUGCACUAGCCAGGGUGCACUUUGCACACUAGUGAGGUCUUGUUGAGGUGAUGCAUUUUCUAACUGGUAAUCACUGCAGGAGUGCCUAUGUGUCUUGAUUGUUGAUGAUUGCAAAGACGUGUCAACUCCAGCUCAACAGUUUCUUGAAUAUCUUUUCUCUUCAAGUGGCAAACAUCAUGUGCAACACGAUAUGACUGAAAUAUUUGGCAGGUACGUUGCUGAUCUGAAGUUAGACAUAGUUUUGGGCAUAACUUUUGGAAGUAACUUCCUUAUUAUGACUUUACUUUUCUAUUUAAAUUUUUGAAGUCUCAUUGAGAAGCUUCCAAAAGUAGUGCUGAGGAAUGAGGAAUCGCUCACACUCUCACAUGCCCAGCAAUUACUUGUGGUGAUAUAUUAUUCUGGCCCUCAGUUUGUCUUGGAUCAACUUCUUUCUCCGGUAUGUUGUAUGCAAUUUACUUUCUGCUUUUUAUAGACAGAAUUUUUUGAAGAAUAUUGUGAGAAAACUGUACUUAAUGGUAAAAUAUAAUCCUGGAUACCAUAUUUCUUACAGAAUAUUAUGAAAUAGUUGUACUUAAUGGUUAAAUAUAAUAUCAUGUUUGUGAUAUGUGAAAUCAAUAUGUUUAGCUUGAUUUUGCUUUCUAAUAUAUGGUGGAUUAGACCUACUAGUUUUCCCAUCUACCUCAAGCAGACAAUUUUGACUGUUUUAUAAAAGCUACCUGGGAGAGUACUUUUCUCCAUUGGGCACUGUAUGGUUCAAGGAAGUUUUUAUCAUAAGAGAGGAAAGCUUCUCAUUGCUGAAUGUGCUGUUUUUAUGCAUAGGUAACAGCUGCAAGAUUCUUGGAUGUUUUUGCACUCUGUCUGAGUCAGAAUUCAGCGUUUACUGGUGCUCUCGACAAGCUAACUUUAGCAAGGUCACAUUCUGCUGGAUACCUUCCUUCCAUUGCUGAGCUGAAAGCUGGUUCUCAUUUUGCCAAUAAUUACCAGGUCAUCAUGGAUGCUGCUCCGUCUGAUAUCUCAAAGUUCAGUGAUGUUCAAGGAAAAAGAACCCAAUACUCGUCAAAAACUGUGGAGAGUAAUUAUGAACUUCCUCGCAUGCCCCCUUGGUUUGCUUAUGUUGGCAGUCAGAAGUUAUAUCGGGCUCUUGCAGGAAUUCUUAGACUAGUAGGUUUAUCUUUAAUGUCAGGUCAUUUCAACUCAUGGAAAUUCAAUUUCUUGUUUUAAAGUCCUAUCGUAUCUGCUUUGUACCUGAACCAAGAGUCUUGUUUCUUGCUUGUUGCUAGACUUCGGAAGCGAAGGGCAUAUGUCAGUUGUUACAGAUAUUCCACUUGAUUACCUCCGUAAACUGAUAUCUGAGGUCCGUGCUAAGGAUUACACUAAAGAGACUUGGCAGUCUUGGUAUAACAGAACUGGCUCAGGACAAUUACUACGGCAUGCCAGCACUGCAGCAUGUAUCUUGAAUGAGAUGAUAUUUGGUCUAUCAGACCAGUCAAUUGAUAGUCUCACAAAAAUGUUUCACAAAUCCAUGGUUAAGGGUGAAGAGAUUCAAGAAUUUGAUGCAAGAGGUGCCGGUAAUCAGCCUUGCACAUUUGAGUGUCCUGAGCUAACUCGAUCUAUUUGGAAGCUUUCACUGGAGAAGGCGUCUAGGGUUUCCUUGAUUGAAUGCAUCGGUAGAAUCUUACAUGAAUAUCUAUCAUCUGAAGUGUGGGAUCUUCCAAUGGAUCACAAACCUUCUCAUGUUCAACCUGAUGAUGAAGUGGGAGAAAUUACUUUGCACUUCUUUCAUGAUACUGCUAUGCUACACCAGGUACUCUAUUUAUUUGAUUUCACUAGAAGCUUAUGUAGUUACUUGAAUCAUGCAUUGUUAAUUAUCAUUCUUCAUGCGGUAUUACAAAACAAGGUUCCUAUGUUUUAUUUCCUCCAACAGGUUAUUAUUGAUGGAAUAGGCAUCUUUGCUGUGUGUCUUGGAAAAGAUUUUGCUUCGAGUGGAUUUCUUCACUCAUCUCUUUAUCUGUUGCUCGAGGGUCUUAUAUCCUCAAACUUCCAUGUUAGAAUUGCUUCUGAUGCUGUCUUACACGUUCUUUCAGCUACAUCUGGCUGUCAAACGGUGAGCUUCUAAAACAAUUUUUUUUUUCCUACAGCAUUAUGUGAUGAUCCUUUCUAAUUAAUAUUAUGUAGGUUGGGCAAUUAGUCUUGGAAAAUGCGGACUACAUAAUUGAUUCAAUAUGUCGGCAAUUACGUCAUUUGGAUCUUAACCCACAUGUGCCUGGUGUUCUUGCUUCCAUGCUUUCUUAUAUUGGAGUGGCUCAUAAAAUAAUGCCCUUGUUGGAGGAACCGGUAUGGUUCUGCACUUGUUCGAUUUCAGAUGAAUCAUGAGUAAUUUUAUGCUCUUUUUCUAGUUCUUUAAUAUUUCAUCAUCAUUAGUGAGCUUUGUUUCAAGAUUUAAUUUAAUUUAUCUUAUUUCUUCAAAAUAAUUAUAGAUCUCCUCUUUCUCUUUAAGACACAUUUUCUACAAAAUAUUUCCACCUGGUUAAUUGUUCUGGUAUCAAUUCUUUUUUUUUUCUUCAACCUUGUUAAUCUUGUUCUACUCAGCAAAUUUUGCUUCUUUUUUGUGCUUUCAACUGAAUUGUAAUGCUUAUGGAUGAUUAUUGUAAUACUGUACAGAUGCGCUCUGCAUCACAAGAACUCGAGAUCCUUGGCAGGCAUCAACACCCAGAAUUAACUAUUCCCUUUCUGAAGGUUAUAUUAACAUACUCUCUAUAUAUGGUAGUUCUUGCACUUCUCAAAUUUGCUUGUUCGCAAACUCCUAACUGUCUGCAUACUGCAUAUCUAAAAUAAACAAUGAGGUCUAUUGGUGUGCGUUCAUGGUCUUUACUUGCUCAACAUGCUUUGGGAAAUGAAUGAUGCUUUGGAGAACUGCGUUGGAAUGGAAUCUGUCAUGACACAAGUUUUCUUUUGCUCCUUAGAUGUCCGAGUGUAUCUAAGCUGGCAUUUAUUGCUGAUGACAUAACAUCCUUUAUUUUGACAUAGGUCCUAUCAUAUUUCAAAAACUUCUGAGAACUAAUCAGGCAUUUGUGAUAAUAACAGAGGGAGUAUUUUCUUAAACAAGUCCACAAAGUAGAGAAUUGACAGAAGCAGCGGUUUCUAGCUUAGGGCCAUCUGUGCUAGGUCAAUUGUCGUUGGUUUAGGUAGAAAUACUAGUUUCAGCAUGUUUAAAACUCUUGGCACAUAUAACUCUGUAGUUGUAUGACCCCCAGUGUAUUUCAAUUCUUGGAAUUUCUCUCUCUCGAAACCAUAAUAAGUGAUUUACAUUAAAGUCAAAGUGCAGUCAGCACCUGAUUGAAGGAUUCUAUACUGCUGUGUUUCUUGCUCUAGAGCUACUUUUUAGAAAUUCAUCUGUUUGGACACGGUGAUAUGCAUCUGCCAUUGUAAUCUGCAUCAUUACAUCUGCCCUAGAAGAGAUUUAUAUCUUACAGUUGAUUUUCUUAAUCUUUAGGCUGUAGCUGAAAUUGCCAAGGCAUCAAAACGUGAGGCUUCAUCAUUGCUUGCUAAUGCAGAAUUGUAUCUUAGUCAUGUUAAGGCUAAAGUGGAAAAGGAAGUUAGACUGGAAUCCAGACAAGGUUCACCCUCACAUUCUGACAAUCACACUAAUAUGUUGCAAAUGGAAUGCGGUAAUUACUUGCCCUUGUUUGUAGCAUUUCUGUUUAUGUAUUAGGAUUGAAAUUUUAUCUAAUAGUUUAGAUAUACAGAGGUUUUGUAGCAUUACUUGACAUGGGUAUAAGAGGUAUAUUGUUUUUUUUUUUAAUCUCGGGUCCUGCUUGCGGCCAGGAACUUUUCUUUUUUCUUUAAUCUUUGAUUAGGUUAAUACUUUCAUAAAUGGUUGGUUUCUAGAUUGAAUUUCUCUUUUUAGUGCCUUUUUGGCUUAUUUGAGUGGAUGGCUUGUGUCCAUCCCAUCCUUCAUCUCACCUGUUGCUUUUAGCCCAUUUAGGAGUAGGCCAUUCAUCUGCAGACCUCUUCCUGUGUAUACUGUAUACUGUUAUAUCACAACCAAGAUUAUAUCAUUUGAAUAAUCACCUCUCUAACUCCAUCUUGAGAAAUUGUUUAUUAUUAUUAUUAUUAUAUCUUUAUUCAAUUCUCUAAUUCAUGCUUUUUAGACGUACUUUGACAUCUUAUGGAAGAUGGGAAAUUGUUUACUUAUUAUGAUGAUGAUUAUAUGUCGCAUGUAGAUCAAUGGGAGAAUAUUUUGUUCCAGUUGAAUGAUUCCAGAAGAUUCAGAAGAACUGUGGGAUCUAUUGCUGUUUCAUGCUUAACAGCUGCAACCCCUCUACUGGCUUCAGUGAAGCAAGCAGCAUGCCUGAUAGCCCUUGAUAUAGUUGAGGUAUCUGUCUUGCUGAAAAUUCUUGAACUCCCCCAAUGUGUGUGCAUUGGCACCUCAUGAAUUUAAUCUAUUAAAGGUUAUGUGUGAAAGAUGAUAUGCUUGUAGUGAAGGCUGAUAGCACCUCAUUAACAUUUUAAUUGAUUUGUAAUUAUUUUGAAGGCUGACUUCCAAACAUAUAACAAUUAUGUAAAUCUCAUAGCCCUUGAUAUAGUUGAGGUAUCUGUCUUGCUGAAAAUUCUUGAACUCCCCCAAUGUGUGUGCAUUGGCACCUCAUGAAUUUAAUCUAUUAAAGGUUAUGUGUGAAAGAUGAUAUGCUUGUAGUGAAGGCUGAUAGCACCUCAUUAACAUUUUAAUUGAUUUGUAAUUAUUUUGAAGGCUGACUUCCAAACAUAUAACAAUUAUGUAAAUCUCAUAGCCCUUGAUAUAGUUGAGGUAUCUGUCUUGCUGAAAAUUCUUGAACUCCCCCAAUGUGUGUGCAUUGGCACCUCAUGAAUUUAAUCUAUUAAAGGUUAUGUGUGAAAGAUGAUAUGCUUGUAGUGAAGGCUGAUAGCACCUCAUUAACAUUUUAAUUGAUUUGUAAUUAUUUUGAAGGCUGACUUCCAAACAUAUAACAAUUAUGUAAAUCUCAUAGCCAUCAAGCAUCACUAUCAUCUUGCAAAAGUUGAUAAUAUUGAUACCAAAAAAUUGGAAAUGCAAAUUAGAAAGAUGGAUGGCUGCCAUAGAUUGUAAUGAUGAUCAUAACUUCUUCUUCUCCCUUCAUAUCUGAGUAUGAACUAUUUACAUUUCACCAAAUGUUUGAAAACCUUGUUAAAUUCUAUCGAAUUACUUGCUUAGGAUGGCAUGACAACACUGGCCAAAGUGGAAGAAGCUCAUCGGUACGAGAACCAAACUAAAGAAAUGAUUGAAGAUGUGAUUCGUUCAUACUCAUUCUACCAUCUUCAUGACACUUUGGAGGCUGCUGAGGAAGGAAAUAAUGAGAACAGAUUGCUUCCAGCAAUGAAUAAAAUAUGGCCUUUCCUGGUUGCCUGUAUUAGAAACAAAAACCCAGUGGUACGUCCAUCAUUUUCUGCUUUGAUUGUUCUGAUUGCCAAACCCUUGUCCUGUCAGUCCUAUUAAUCACGAUUUUGAAUGGUUUAGUUGCGAUUAGCUUCAUUCUCAGUCCUAUCAAUUUAUGCUUUCUGAUUAGCCUGCGAAAAUAAUUUUUUAUUUAGUAUACGAGUAAAAAGGGUAUGAAUGUUUAUUACUAUUAUUAUUGUGAUUUUUAGUAUGAAUAGUUUGGUGUGUUGCAACUUCAUUCAUUUGACAGGCUGUUAGAAGAUGUCUAAGUACGGUAAGCAACGUAGUUCAAAUCUGUGGAGGAGAUUUCUUUUCACGUCGCUUCCACACUGAUGGGACACACUUCUGGAAACUUCUUUCUACAUCCCCAUUUCAGAAAAGACCAUUCUCUAAGGAAGAAAGGAUCCCUUUGCAACUUCCUUACAGAAGCACUCCUACUUCUCCAGAGGACUCUAUGGCUGAAGUUUCAAGCCUGAAAGUCCAGGCUGCAGUGCUCAACAUGAUUGCUGAUUUAUCCAGAAACAAAAGGAGUGCUUCAUCAUUGGAAGCAGUCCUUAAGAAGGUUAGUGGUGUCGUUGUGGGGAUAGCUUGCAGUGGUGUUGCUGGGCUGCAUGAGGCUGCUGUUAAUGCAUUAAAUGGACUUGCAUCUAUUGAUUCUGAUCUCAUUUGGCUUCUACUAGCUGAUGUAUAUUACUCUUUGAAGAAGAAAGGCCAACCUUCGCCUCCCACUUCAAGUUUCCCGCCAAUGUCUCAGAUUUUGCCGCCUCCACUUUCUCCAAAAGGGUACCUCUAUGUACAGUCUGGAGGUCAAAGCUAUGGUUUUGAUAUUGACUUGUCCUCUGUAGAAGCUGUGUUCAAGAAACUACAUGCCCAGGUCUUUAGUAAUCAAAUGUAUAUAUGAAAAGUAUGUAAAAAGUUAUUUGUGAAAUACAAUGCACUAGAAAUUCAAAGAGUUGCCAAGUCAUAGUGUCCUUUGAUCUUCAUUAUAGUUUCUUUUCAGAGCAGCUUUUGUUCUUUAGUCAGGUCUGAUAUUUGAUUAGUAGGAUUUUGUAAGUCCAUGCAGACUGAUAUCUUAAAAUGAUUUUGUAUCAAUUUCUCUUCUUCCCCUUUUUCUGGCAUUCAUGUUGAAAUCUAGUCAGAAUCAAGUUGCUGAUUCGACAAAAUUAGUGCAAUGCUGUAAGAAUGAGUGGUUUUAAAUUUGGUUCGUAUUCGAUUCAGUGUAAAAAAGAAAAUUAAAAAAUAAAAAUCACUGUCAAAUAUUUUCUAAUGUCUGAAGCUGUAAAUUUUGGUCCUUGCAUAGUGUUACAGAAAAUAUCAGUAAAACAUUUUCUUAGGUUUGAAGCAACUGCACACGCAGCUGAUGUUACCAUAGUAGACAGCAUCAAGUAGUCCUUUUUAAUCUGCUUCCUCCAGAAUUCUCUGCUUUACAAACCUUAUUUUCCAGAUUCCAAAAGAUUAAGGUACAAAGCCAAAUUCUAGUUUUUCUUUUCAGAAAAAAAAAAAAGGAAAGAAGAAGAGUUGGAGUCAGCAACACGUUAUGCUUCUUGGCUUAUUAGUUAGAAUUUCUAAAGGUCAUCCCACUUAUAAGAUCUGUACAUAAAGAUCCGUAAGGCAGAGGAAGUAGGUCACCUGCAUAUUCGACCUUCAGGUCCUUUCAAUGUCAAACCACAUUAUAGGAAGUUCCCAAGUGUGCAGGUCGAAACUAUCCUGUUUGCUAAAGAACCGUUAAGAGAUUCAGAAGAGUUGGUCACCAACAAAUUGCAUUCCCAUUCCAUUUGUCACCUCUAUAUAAGCUAUACAUCUUUCUCACACUUCCAUCAAGCACAAUCAAAUUCCAUUACUUACAGGAAAUCUUCACAUUCCACAGGCACUUCAAGAGACCCAAUGGCACACAGAGAUUUAGCAAUGAGUUUGGCUCUGGCCGUAGUGAGCAUGCUAUACGCAGGAGCCGUGGCUCAAUCCGGUUGCACAAAUGUCUUAAUAAGCAUGUCACCAUGCCUGAAUUACAUUACAGGGAACUCCUCAACUCCAUCUUCACAGUGCUGCUCACAGCUUUCUAGUGUUGUUCGCUCAUCACCCCAGUGCUUGUGUCAAGUUCUAAGUGGCGGUGGAUCAUCACUUGGCAUCAACAUCAACCAAACCCAGGCUCUAGCCUUACCUGGGGCUUGCAAUGUUCAGACUCCACCCAUCAGUAGCUGCAAUGGUAAGAAAAUCUAUUUUCAACCUCAGCCCCCUUUGAAUUCAAUUUUGCAUAUUAGAAGUCAAAACUGUUGCCCUUUUCUCAAGAAAAGAAACUGAAACGAAAAAUCAGAAGCUAAACUAGAAAUUGAUACUGCAUGAUACUAACAUGCACUACCUGUAUGCGAACAGCUGCUUCUCCAGCCGCCUCUCCUGCAGGAACACCGGAAAUUCCAAAUACUCCUUCAGGUAUAACACGUUUCAUAGAUUUCUCGUUUCAAGACUUAGAUGAGUCGAGUUACUCUUCACUGCCAUAUCAUGAAAAAUAGUUCCCCAAUAACGUAUCUUUUGUUUAAAACCUUUUACGCUCUACUCUGUUCUCUGGUUUAACUUGGUCCUGCCUUCUGGUUGUAGGAACUGGAUCUAAAACCGUACCAUCAACAGAAGUUGAUGGCACAUCAGAUGGAAGCUCAAUCAAGUUGUCAAUCCCAUUGCUCGCAUUCCUUCUCUUUGCAGCUUUUCAUAUGGUUUAAUCUCCUCAACUCACUGAUUUUCCGAUCAGCCUUUCACCAUUUUGCAGUCUUGCAUAUUCUCAGUUAUUGUACUGAUAGUUUAUGAUUGAUUUCCUUUUUGGUUAGAGGAUGUAUGUAUUAUUUAUUUAUCCUGACCUCUUCUGAGUUUGUUAUAGUUUUGUAUUACUGAAGAGACUUCUUGCUCUCUUCCCUUCCCAAUAAAGACAUUAUUUCUUGUGUAUGUUUUACCAUUGCUCUCUUCCCUUUCCAAUAAGUAUCACAGGGUCAAACCAAAAAUAAAUGUUACAAGGGUCGAACCAAAAAUAAAUGUUAAAAUCGACUAUAAAUUGCAUAGUUCAACAGAGGCAUCACACUACCAUAUUUACUGUGGUUGAUGAACUAUCACAACAAAAUUUGUACAACAGUCAACACAUUCUUCAUCUUCUACAGUAGAAUCACACCAUUACACCCAGAAAGUUACAUGCAAAAAGGCAUCAUCAAAACCGACCUUAUGCUGCAAAUUCCAUUGUCCGUAAUUGAGCCAUUCCGAGAAAGCAAAGUAGGCCACAGCAAUCCAUUUGUGUUUAAAUUGACCAAAGGCCAAACAAUGGUUAACCAUAGACGUUUCAUAUAAUUCAGUAUGAAGCAUCCUUGUUACAUGAUGCAGCUCAUAUUGUCAUAAUAAAGUUUCUACUUUCAUACCUGCACCAAAAAGUAGAAAUUAUUAUGACCAACUACAUAAGCAUAAUUCAUAUGGUCAGCAGAAAUAUCACUUCAAACGAAAAUCAGAUGGAAAUUCUGGGUCCAGAAACUCAAGAAUCCUAUCUACUAUAAUUUGAUCUAGCUCUGGAAACAAAUUACAUAAUGAAAGAUGCCUUGGUUAACCUAUAAGAAUACUUAUCCAUUGUGGAUAAAUGGAAAUAAAUCCUAACAUGAAGGAUCUCAGUAAAACAUAUGGCAUACUUAGGCAUGAGGCAACUUAUGUAAGUAAAUGAGUGAUGACAACUGUACAUGGUCCGACUCAAAGAGACAUGGACUAAUAUUUGUAAGACAAGUGCUAUAACCAAGAUUUCCUCUUUACAUCCGACAGCAGUUAAUAGGUCAAACACCAAUAGAGGAGAUGAGAAGACAAUCAUACUGCCUAAGAUUAUUGCUUUUCCAGUAACAUAGAUUACAACAAAGCUCAUAGCUAAACCACACUCCUGUUUCAAAGCUCAUAGACUACUAAAACUGUUGAAUGGAAAUCUCUUGUACUCCAGAAUCUCAAAAGAAAAGAUGAGGUUGACAGCUACAAAGCCUCCUACAGCCAUUUAGAAGCCAAGUAUCCUUUGAGUUCUGGCACAUUCCCGAAGUCAUAGCAACUUCCUGAAGUUUAUUUUGGUACACUCCAUUUGUGAAAUUAAGGACAAUACAAUCAGUCAAGUCAUGACUUACAUUUCCAAGUUUGUCCAGCAAGUGAACAAAAAUAUGAGGCAUCAUAAACCCUAACAAGUUUUGCCAGCCUAUGCUACAACUUUUUCUAUUUAAAAAUGCAGAGCCACAUGAAUUGAGACUCUUUUCUUUUGUAGCUCAAUUCAAUGCUAUGAUUUAGUUAGUAAAAUGUACCUCAAGCUGCUCAAUUUUGAUGUCAGAUCUUGUUUAAAUCACUAUAUAUAUGACUGUUGGUCCUAUUUUAUUCGAUCCACAACCUUUUGCAGUUCAAAUAAUUCUAACUCACAGGCCUUGGAAUUGGAUUAUAAUAUAAACCAAAAAAAUAAGUCGAAGACCAUAGAUGCCAAGGAAACUAAUUUUAUCACCAACACUAUAUACUAGAAAGAAAAUCAAUAAAUGUAAGGCAAAACCAUCAUUAAGCCCCUCAACUUUCAGCUUUAUUUUAUUGAGCCCCUGAAUAUUCAUUUUGUUUUGUUGAGUCUCUAUAUUUUAUUUUUUGUUGGAUUAAGGACUAUUAAACAUACUUUAUGAGAAUUUUAUUUGUUUUAUUGAGUCCUUGUAUUUUAUUAUUUUGCUUUUAUUAAGGAUCAAUAGCCCUUAAUAAAGGCAAAAGUAAAAUAGGUCUUAAUGAAACAAAUAAAAUUAAAGGGGCUUAAUAAAAUAAAACUGAAAAAAGUUCAGGGAUUUAAUAAUGCAUUUUGCCUAAAUGUAACGCACCACAGGAUGCUAAUAGAUAUCAUCUCAUAUUUUCUACUAAAAUCUGAAAUAUAAAGACAAGACUACAGACUUCAAGAAUGUGACCGUGAGCGCACGAAUUCUUCUAGUCUGUCCCACACCUCCAAUGCCGCAGCUCUGUCCUGGUGUCUCUUGUUCUUGCUAAUCUGCAUGAUUGAAAUGAUUAUUUAUGUUACAUGCACAACAUUGGAAAAGACGGGGGGAAAUGUAAAUAUUAACAGCCAGUAGAGCAAUCUAACUGAAACAAAGAGUUUAAGUGCAAAGCAGCUAAAAGAAGAAAUAAAUGCUCACCGAAAUGAUCUUCACAUUCCACUGCUUGACAGUUUUUGCUGAUUCUACACUGUCGUCCUCAAACCGCAUGAAAAAUCCAAUAACUGCAUAAGGUUUUCAGUAGAAAGCAUUAUAACAAUUCAAUCCAAUUAUGGCCUCAAAUUUUCUAAUACCACAACAAUAACAAUUCAAAAAUGAAUUAUAAAUCCAACAAGUCAUAUGCUCCACUCACUUUUAUUAAAUAUCUCCACAUGAUCCUUAAAUGGCCAAUCUUUAAAUUGCCACUCUUUCCCCAAUACAAAAACAGCCACAACCCGAUCCCAAUCCUCAGCUUUAAGCGCAGACGGUUUAUCCCUAACCUCAUAAGCAGUCAUCACUCUGUUUCUAUCAGUACUAAACUUCUUCUGCACUGUAACACAAUCGGGUUUCGCACCUUUCAUCUGUUUAACCUUAACAUCAGUAGGAAUAUAAACUCCAUCCUCCAAAAACUCCUUCACAUUAUAAAUAGUAAUCAAAGUCUGAAAUGCACUUGGCACUAAAAUAAUAGGCACACCUUCACCAAAUUUCCCUCCUUUCAAAUGCAACAUUUUGGGUUUCGAAUUCGCAUCAUAACCCAUUUCAUCACCACCAUACCCUCUAUCUUCACUGCCCAUCAAUCUACUCUUAGCAACUAACCCAUCUUUUCUCUGCUGUGACUCAAUUCUCUGUCUCUCCUCUUCGCGCCGCGUUGACGCAACUAAAACACUAUAAAAAUCUUUAGUUUUACACUCUAAUAAAGCUUCCCUAUCCUUAAUUGGCCUCUCCAUUGAAUAAAUGAUACUAAUCAAGUUAUCCUCUUUAACAUUAUUACCACCACCACCACUUGCCACGUCAGCAUCAGCACUAUUAUUAUUAAUAGUAGAAUCAAGAACAGCAUUGCUAUUAAGAUCGUUAUCAAGAUCAAGGUUAGGGUUAGGGUUUUGGGGAAGAGGGAAUACAAUAGAAUCAGUAGAGGAUACCUUUCCGGUGAGGUAAUCAUAGAGAGGUUUACGGUCGAUGAAGGUGAUAGCGGGGAGACCGGCGGCGCGUGCGUGCUGGAGAUAGUCGGUGAAUUUGAGGUGGGAGUUUUGGAUAUAGUAAACUAGGGUUUCGAGAGUGUAGAGAUUGCCUUGUUUAGAGCGAUAAGCGGUUUUAAUAUUGCAAGGGAAAGUGUAUUCGUUGCUAAAGCGGAAUUCGUCGUUUAUUCUCACGAUUUUGUCUACGUCGUUGCGCAUUGUAAAGUCGCGGAGAGCUGAGAGCGGGUCCAUCGUAUGAAAAAGUAGUGAUUUUCUGGAGAAGUUUAUAAAGAAUGUUCAAGGUAUAUGAAGUGUUUGAUCUGUUGGAAUUGGAGGAAGGAUGAUGAUGAUGAUGAUGAUGUGGAGACUUGGAUUUGAAUUUGGCUUUGCUGUGUGAGGAAGACGGUGGAUUUAUGUUAUGUUAAUGUUACUGUGAGCAAGAGAAACCACCCAAGUACAGUACUGUUAGUCUUGACUUUUCAGAACCAAAGAAAGCUGUGUGUGUGUGUGAUUACAAAGUAAUAUUGAGUUUGGGCUUUCAUAUAACAAACAAUCUGAUUUUGUUUACAAAACCUAGCAGGCCUUCCAGAAGGGAGCCCAACCAAGCUCAGAACCUCAGUCAGGACUUGGGUUUUGUGCUCAUGUCUGAAAGUUUUUGGUCGUCCUGCUUUAUUGAUUACAAUUGAUAAAGUAGAUAAGAGUUUCUUUUAUUUCUCUUUUCUUUUUUCUCAUGUAGAAACAAUCAAACUAUAGGAUCACUAGAAAUAAGACUAAACAUCACCAUGUCUUUAGACCUACCCUUUCAAAUUAAAUACUUUCUUAGAACACCUUCUCUCACGAAUCCGGCCUUCUCUAGCACUCUCUGCGACCCCAAAUUUUCAACAUCUACCAAAGCUUCAAGUCUCUCCAGUCCUGGCAUCUCAUCAAAGAUACUCAGUCUCGGCCAUAAUUUUCACUGCCCUUGUUGCAAUCCCCUUGCCCCAGUACUUAUAUGCUAAAAGAUAGCCAACUUCACCUCUGCAAGCAUCAUUCCCUGAAUUCCUUGUCCCUGUCAUGCAACCAAUGGCCUUAUUGUCUAUAUCAUGGCUGGAGCAUAGCUUUAUUUUUUAUGUAGUUUAUGCCAUCUUCUUUGCUAGUGUAAGGGUCAAGCUACAAAAAUGAGCCACCCUCUCAUCAGAAACCCAGAUCAUGAAAUCAUCAAUAUCAGAGAUUUCGAUUGGCCUAAGAGAGAUAUCAGAGAAUUCGUCGCGAAGUCUUUGAUGGCUGCUGAUGUUAAAGAACUUUGAAACAUUUAUGGAAAAAAAAAAACGACGAAGAAGAUUACUAACCGUAGUCUAUAAAAUUGAAACUAAAGAAAACGCUGCUUAUAUGUAUACAGAAAACCAGGCUAGACUAAAAUGGAGUCAAGUUCUUCAAAUUGUCAAUUAUGCUUUACUUGGAGUAGCGAGCAAGGGUUUGCAUUAUUUUAAUGCUAUACAGCCCAAAAUUCAGAAAAGAAAAAAGAAAGGAGGAGGAUCCUGCUUAUGUGGUCAAUGUCCACCUUGUAAUUUUAUCUGCUAGUUUAAGCAGCUUCAUUGCACCUAACCUAAUUGAAGUUGAUAAUUUACUUUCUGAACUCAGAAAUAAAUGAAAUAAGACCGCCAUUCUCGUUACAUCUUGUACAGUUAAGAUUAUUAUUGCUUUUGUUUUUACGGAUCUAUCAAGAAUUUCCCUCCGUCCUUUCAAGCUACAAAGAUGUAAAAUAGGACACCGUUACCAUUAGAGAAGAAGCACCAGCCCAUCUUGAAAAGGUACCACAUCCAUGGCAUCAUUGCAUAUUUGUACGAAGUUCUCCAAUUUGGGUACAUCUAACGUUCGAAAAGCAUAGCAAGCAUUGCGUUUGCUGUAGCUCUUUUUGAUGAAGGUCGUCGUCUUCUUUUUUCUCCUUUCCUCAUUUCUUUCUGCUAAAAAUUAAAUUUGAUGAUCAAUACAAAAGGAAAAACAUAUGCACUAUAUAUGAAGCAAUCAAUCUCUGAAUUUGCAUUUUUGUUUCACUGCCUUUCUACAUAUCUUGACUGUACUUUUGUUUGGUCCCGACACAAAUGAAAAACUUUGUAAAAGCUCAGCAUUUCAUCCAUUUACUUGAAUAUAUGUAUAGCUUUACAGUAUGUACAAAUAUAUCAAUCAGAAGCCAAACCAACAACUCAUCAAUAUCAAAUAUAUACAUUGGAUAGUAAAUGUCGGAAAAUUCAUUAAAAAUGUCUUCAAAUUCAAAUUCUGUAGCUUUAAGAGAACCUAGAUCCAUUUUGUACAAUUCCUAUAAAAAACAAGAUUACAGGAUCCGCGAAGGUGGUUAGGCCUCUUGAGCAACAUUCUUAGUUUCUGUUUGGAAAAUAACAGAGUACAUGUACAUCCAACACAAACAAACAUUUUCUUUUUCUUUUUAUUUAAUUUGCGAAUUCUGAAACCAAUUACACAUUAUUGUUGAGUAGGGUCAAAGAGACAAAUUUUGCACACACAAGAUUCAAAGGAUCAUUGUACAAAAGAAACCAAUUUGGAACAAACAAAUGAAAGAAAAGAAAUGACUAACAAUUCCAUGAAACAAUCAAACUAUACGAUCACUAGAAAGAAAGCUAUGCAUCACUAGAUCUCUAGAUUGUCCAUGUAAGAUACAAUACUUUCUUAGAACACCUUCUCUCAUGAAGCCAGCCUUCUCUAGCACUCUUUCCGAGCCCAGAUUUUCAACGUCGACCAAAGCUUCAAGUCUCUCCAGUUCUGGCAUGUCAUCGAAGAUAGUCUUGACCACCAUUUUCAUUGCCCUUGUCGCAAUCCCCUUGCCCCAGAAUUUAUAUGCUAAAAGAUAGCCAACUUCAUCUCUGCAUGCAGAAUUCUUUGUCACUGUAAUGGCACCAAUAGCCUUAUUAUUGAGGCAUAUUACUCUACUAUGGAUGGACUAUUGCAGUGUUUUUUAUGUAGUUCAUGCCGUCUUCUUUGCUAGUGUAAGGGUCAAAAGUGCAAAAAAGAGUCACCUUCUCAUCAAUAGCCCAGACCAUGAAAUCAUCAAUAUCAGAGAUUUCGAUUAGAAAAAAGAUUACUAAACAUAGUCUAUAAAGUUAAUACUUGAAACUACAGAAAAUGCUACUUAAAUAGACAAACAGGCUAUAGAAAGACUGGAAUCAAGUUCUUUAAGGCUAUGUUUGUUAGAGAAGCUGGAAGAAUCCACCUGAAGGUAACUUAUGCUUUACUUGGAGUAAUGAGCAAGGUUCUUACAUUAUUUUAUCAGAAAAUAAUGCUGCUUAUGUGGUGAAUGGCCACCUUAUUAAAAAAAAAAAAAAAUUAUAGGUCAAGGUAAACCAACUUUGUAAUUUUGUCUGCUAGCUUAUGCAGCUUCUUUGCACCUAACAUAGUUAAAGUUGACAAUAUACUUUCUGAACUGGGAAAUAAAUUAAAUAAGACCAUACUCGGUUUAUCUUAUACAAAUAAGAUUAUAAUUGCUUCUGUUUUUAUGGAUCCAUCAAGAAUCACCCUCCGUCCUUUCAAGCUCUCUGAUGUGGACGAUUUCUUGAAAUGGGUUAACGACGAUAGAGUAGCCAAGAAUGUAAGAUGGGAUGCCAUUACCACUAGAGAAGAAGCAGUAGCCCAUCUUGAAAAGGUAGCCAUACCACAACCAUGGCAUCAUUCCAUAUGUUUAGACGACCGAUCAAUUGGGUACAUUUCACUUUGGAAAGUUUCAGAUGAUGAUAAAAGCACAGCCAGCAUUGCAUAUGCUACAGCGGCUGAGCACUGGGGACAAGGGAUAGCCACAAUUGCAUUGAAGAUGGCCCUGUCACGUGUGUUCAUUGAAUUACCUGACUUGGUCAGGCUCAUGGCUUAUGUAUUGAAAGAGAAUAAGAGGUCUCAAAGAGUGCUAGAAAAGUUUGGUUUUGUGAAAACAGAUCUGAUAAGGAAGAUGUAUAAAGGUGAAAUGAAAGAUAUUCUUGUGUAUGGUUUCCUGUCAAAGAACAAGGUAUAGUUAUCAUGUUUCCAUUAAAGUAUGGUUGUUGCUUGCAUAAACCCAAAUUCGCAUUUAUGGGUCCUAAUCUCUAACCAGAUGUUAUUACAUACUUCAGGAAGUUGACUACUCCAUCUGCAAACAGAACGCAAAUUGGAAGAAAGGCUAAAAAGGGGCAACUGGAGUCGAGUCCUCAUACCAGGUCUAUUCUGGGUUGUGCCUUUGGCUGUAAUGUGGUAGAAAACAGGAAUACAAAACAGUAACCUUCUGAGAAUAAAUUGCUAAGGACAUCUGAUAUGGGAUAGGUGGAGAGCAUUAGGGAGAAGGAGUAAGCACGAUUGCGUUGAAGAUGGCUCUGUCUAGAGUGUUCAACUAAAAAUGCGCCCGACUUGGUCAGAAUGGAAGCUCAAACAUUGGUAGAAAAUUUUCUUAUUCUUAGUUUCCUGUCAAGGGACAAGAUUUUGUAAUUCAUAUUUCAUAUGUUUGUGACUUGUGAGCUUUCCUCUUUUCCGUCAUGUUUUAUGUGGUUUUUGUUUCUCAAUUCUGUCUGCUAAGAAUUAAAUUUGAUGAUCAAUACAGCAGGAAAAACAUUUGCAUUAUCUGAAGUAAUCAUCUGUGAAUUUGCAUAUUUUGCGACACUAUCUUUUACGUAUAACCCAAAUUAUAUUAGUAAUAUGCUAUAUAUCUUGGCUAUACUCUUAGAUUCGACAAGAAUGAAAAAAUAGGAAAAGUUCAGCAUUUCAUUGGUUUACUUAAGAAGGCAGAAUCUCUCUGCCUUAUCUCUUUCUACUUUCUCUAAAUAAACCCUGAGCACAGCUAGCGCCAUGCUGGUGGCAGCCCUCUCUCUCUAUCCUAUAUUAAUUUUCAUGUAUGCUCUUUAGUUAUAUUCUUAGGUAUAUGGAGUUUUGUCCUCCAUUAGUCUCCUUUAGGUUUGGUUGACACCCUUCUUAGAGCCUUUGGUGAGGUUUGAUUUCUUCGUAUGUUAUUUGGGUUUCACCAUUUGGUGACUUCAGAAGUUGUUUUCAAGCGAGGAGACGCUCUUUUUUUCUGGUAGUUGUCUAUAUUAGUUGAAAAGACUCAAAGAGUUAGUCGUCUCGGCUCCUGAGUGAUGAUCCUAUAUUCUAAACCAUCACAAAGGGUAGGUCAUCAGGACCACAGAGAUGCGCUCCUGAACGCUUAUUUAAAUAAGUAAUAUGUAUCAUGAUUUUUUUAAUAUUUUAGCAACGUCAAAGCCAUACGCAUUUUAAAUUCUAUAAUUACACAUGUAUUAGAAAUUCUAUUUUGGGUUUGCCUUUUAGUUUUGAUGGCAUUGGCUUGCCGUAGCAAAUCUUAUCUGGCCAUUAUUGUAAUCCAAGAGUUAAUCACAUUCAACAUCAGACUUUAGUCCGGUAGUUAGAGACUUAAAGAAUUGGAAAAAUACAAAAAAGUAUUAUUAUGUGAUUUAACGUUUUUACAUCUAAAUGACUGUAAUUUUUUAUGUGAUAGAAAUAUCAUAUCAUUUUAUUUUUUUAUGUAUUGUUACUAUAUUAUAAAAUUAUUUUAUUUUUAUAUAUUAAUUUUAUUUAAUAUAAAUUCAAUGUAGUUAGUUAUAUGUUAAAUUACAUAAUAAGUGAUUUUAUUAUUAAAAAUAAAUAUUAUAUUAAUAUUAAAUUAUAAAUAUUUAUAUAUAAAUAAUAAAAUAAAACACACGGUAUUUUUUUCGUCAUAAAAAAAACUACAAUAUUACAAAAAAUAUAAUCACAAUAUAUCUUUUUCGUAUUUUUUUCUAAAAAAUUUGAAAUGAAUCCUUCAUAGUUUGUCACAGAUUAUUCCUAUAAUCGGGAAUCUUUUUCUCCCUUCAAGACUACAUGCAAACACUUUGAGUUGAUUACCCUAUAGCAGCUUGAGUUGAUACAAUGGCUAUAGUUAGCGUUGUUUUGCACGGGGAUUAUCUUUUCCAAAAUCGAAGGCGUCGUUUACAGUUUUUUAUUAAAGUUUCAAAUCCGGUUCGGCCUGGGAUCCAGUCGGAUAAAAUAUUGAACCGAGAUGGAAUCGGAAUUAAACAGAUAUUUUUUUAAAUCUGUAUCAAAUAUUUUAUAAAAUGCAUUAAACUAAUAUCUUUUAAUUUUCACUAAAAUUUUAAAUUCAUUAAAAUUAACCAAAAUUUUAUAAAUCAUGCCUGUGUUAAGAAGAUUAAAGAAAUGGCAAGAGAUUAGCUUUUUUUUUUUUUUCUGUUUUGAGAGGUAAGCCCUUUAAGAAAUAUUCAAAUCACCGACAGAAAUCAUAUAUAUAUCUUUGGAAUGCGGUUGCGUGUGACAUUGCAGCUUGUCUAUUAGUUUAAUAACGUAAGCAAGCAUCGAACUGAGCACCUAUUAGGACCGCAGCAACUCUAGCUUCAUCACCUGGAACUCAGUGAGGAUUGCUGACUUGGCCAGAUAAUAGCGGGAAGAUCGGCUGUUACUAGUUUCUAGUGUAAUGGAUGGCUGUUUUGCAUCAGUUGAAUUGUGUUUGUAUAUACAUUGCUCAUUGCUAUUCUAUACAUUUUAAAGCAGAAUCUGUCUCUCUAUCUUCUUCUUCUCUGAUCUCUUCUUCUUAACCUCCAAUGGUUGUGACUUUUAGUCAUAACCGCAACUAGAUACUCCUAUAGACUCCUAAGGUUCUAUUCAAGAUUGUUGUUGUUUUUAUUAUUAUUAUUGCUUUUGUUUCUUAUGGAUCCAUCAAGAAUUUCCAUCCGCCCGUUCAAGCUUUCUGAUGUUGAUGAUUACUUGAAAUGGGUUAGCGAUGAUAGAGUGGCCAAGAACGUAAGAUGGGGUGCCAUUACCUCUAGGGAGGAAGCACUUUUACAUCUUGAGAGGGCAGUCAUACCCCAUCCAUGGCAUCUUUCCAUUUGUUUGGAUGAUCGUUCAAUCGGAUAUAUUGCCGUUUGGCAAGGAACAUUGGACUAUGAGAAAUGCAGAGCUCACAUUGGAUAUGCCAUUGGUGUAGAGCACUGGGGACAAGGGAUAGCGACAGUCGCAUUGAAGAUGGCAAUGUCUAGAGUGUUUAAAGAUUUGCCUAACUUGGUCAGGCUGGAAGCUUAUACAUUGGUAGACAACAAAAAAUCACAAAGGGUGCUAGAGAAAGUUGGAUUCUUGAAAGAAGGUCUGUUGAGGAAAGUGUUUCAUUAUCAAGGCGAAGUCAGAGAUUUUCUUGUUUGUAGUUUCUUGUCAACAGACAAGAUUUUGUAAUCCAAAUGGUUGUUGGCAAUUUUGUUUUCUGCCAUGUUUUCAAUAAUUAUGGCUUCUUUCUCCUUUUCUUUUUCAUUUGUAUAUGCUAAGAAUGCAAUUUGAUGAUCAAUCCAAAAGGAAAAACAUAAUAUUCAAAUCACCUAGACUAAUUUCUUGCCUUUUUUCAACACCACUGAGAAAUAGAGAAAUUAUUGAAAUAGUUAGCAUUUCACUAUCUACUUUUGAGUACAUACAGCUUUACAAAAAAAAUAUGUGCAGAAAUUUACUUUCGCAGUCGAACUGCUGAUAUGUAGUUAAUGCAAUUUUAUUCACUCCCGUGUAAGAUUUAGAAAAUGAGUCACCUUCUUAAUUAGAAGCCCAGACCAUGAAAUCAUCAAUAUCAAAGAUAUAUCUAUUGGUUGAAGAUAGAUAUCAAGAGAAUUGAUGCCCAAGUUCUUGAAAUGGUUUUGCUGUAAAAGAACCUUAAUUCAUUUUGUACGUUUCACAGAAAAAGAAUUAUUACCCAGAGUUAACACCCAAGAAUAUGCUACUUGCACUAAAGAAAUAGGCUGCAGGAAACUACAUAGAACAAAGACAUCAAAAAAGACAAUUGCAGUCAAGUUCCUUGUAGGAUAAUUGAGCAUUUGUCGGAGGACGGAAUUAUACGUUAAUGCUAGAAAAAUAAAGAAAUUAGUAAAAGUAAUUCCUGACCAUCUUGUUUGGCACUUUCUAAUUAAGAGGAUUUACUAGGAGAUUUCCUCUAGAAUCGAGAUUCUUAACUAAUAUUGACACUCCCAUAAUGAAGUUGACUAAGUAACUAAACUAUAUGGUCAGGAAGCACAAGCUUAAUGUACUUGUCUAAUUUCAAUAUAUAUAUAUAUAUAUCUUUCAUGCGAAAGUUGACCAACUUCUUGAUCAAUUGUUUUUGCUCACCAUCCAAGCCCCCCAUAUAGCCGAUACCGCUAGAGAAGAGCAAGAAUCAUACUUUUUCUACUUCGCUUGCCGGACAGGAAUUCUUUGAUUCAAGAUCCCCUUGCCUUUCGCCCUGCCCUGAAACUGGAGUUCAAGUAAUCAUCUACCUCUCUGGCAGCCAAAAAAGAAGAGACAUGAAUUCAUUGAACGAAAGAUUUAUCGCAAGUAAUUAAAAUUAGGUCGUACCUUAUUCUAUUCCCCCUAUCUUUAGUCAGGAAUAAUGGUCCGAUAAGAUGAACAACCCCAAUGCUGUAUUCCUAGUAUGUUUUAUCUGUUAACAACAGGCAACCAAGGGUUGAUAUAUAUAUAUAUAUAUGUACAUCCCAUCUAACUAAAACCAUUAAUCCAUCUUCCCUCUCUUUAAUUUGGAUUCAUCAAGAGUUUCCCUUCGCCCGUUCAAGCUUUCUGAUGUUGGCGAUUUCUUAAAAUGGUCUACCGAUGAUAGAGUGGCCAAGAAUGUAAGAUGGGAUGCCAUUACCUCAAGGAAAGAAGCAGUAGCACAUCUUGAAAAUGUGGCCAUACCCCAUCUAUGGCAUCAUUCCAUCCGUUUAGAUGAUCGUUCAAUCGGAUAUAUUGCUGUUUGGCAAGAAUCUGGCGAUGAAAAAUACAGAGCAAAUAUUGGAUAUGCAAUAGGUUAAGAAUACUGGGGAUUGGUAGAGAACAAGAAGUCUCAAAGGGUGAUAGAGAAAGCUGGAUUUUUUAGGGAAGGCCUACUAAGAAAAGUAUUUAAAUAAUAAAAGUGAAAUUAUAGAUUUUAACAUCUUUAUUUUCCUGUCAACAGACAAGGUUUUGUAAUCCAAUCUGUAGGGGCAUCUCUUUCAUGUUUCAGUAAAAAAAUAAUUUCCUUUUCCGAUCUUAUUUAUUUCUCUAUGUUUGCCAAGAAUAGAGGUUGAUGAUCAAAGCAAAACGAAAAGCAUAUGGAGAUUCAUCUGUUACAUUUGACAAUUUUGGCGACAGAAUACACUGCAUUAAUUUUGAUUAAAUCGCAUAACACGCAGAUAUGCAAUCAAAUUACAGGAUCAGUAGAAAGAAGACUAAACAUCACCAUAUCUCUAGACCUACCCUUUCGAAUAAAAUACUUUCUUAGAACACCUUCUCUCUUAAACCCGACUUUCUCAAGCACUUUUUGUGAACCCACAUUUUGUACAUCUACCAAAGCUUCAAGUCUCUCCAGUUCUGGCCGCUCACUAAAUAUAGUCUCGGCCACCAUUUUCACUGCCUUUGUUGCAAUUCCCUUGCCCCAGUAUUUAGAAGCCAGAACAUAGCCAAGUUCACCUCUGCAUAUAUCACUACCUGAAUUUUUUGUCACAGAAAUUGCACCAAUUGGCGUGUUGUUAAGACAUAUUGCCAUAAUCCAUGGAUGGGGUAAAACAGUCUUUUUCAUGUAGUUUAAGCCAUCUUCUUUGCUAGUAUAAGGCUCCCAGCUGCAAAAAUGAGCCACUUUCUCAUCUGCAGCCCAAACCAUGAAAUCAUCUAUAUCAGAGAGACCCAAUGACCGAAGAGAGAUAUUAGAGAAGUCAACUCUACCUUCUUGUGCCUCUGUUUGUGUAAAGGAACACUGCUCCAUUUGCACCCAAUUCUUGAAAAAGGAAUUUGGGAAUCUUGAAGUUAAUGCGUUAUACUUAAAUAAUAAUAAUAAAAGUUAAAUAAAAUAUGUGGGAAAACUACUUGGAACAAGGACUUGAAUGAAGACAAGUGGGUCAAUUUUGAUUUUCUUGGAGUUGGGAGCAAGGAUUGUACACCAAGAAAAGAAAAGGAUAAUUUUGCUAAUUUCAUGGCCGCCUAGUUUGACUCUUAUUCUUAUGCAAUAAAGAGGUUAAUUUCUUAUAUUGUUGCCAUGUGCAAAAACUAUUGAUUUGAUGGCAAUAUGAUAUUCGGGGCAAUUAUUGAUUUGUUUACUCUUUUGAUUGCGCAACAAAAGAAAGUUCAACGGAAAUAACCAGCAGAAAUUAACAGUUAGAUGUUAACUAUUUUUACAUUUUUGAUGUUAGAUCAAGUGAUAUAGCCCAAAACCAAGUUGCAGAAGUACCCAUCAAAACUGUACCACGGAACACUGUAGAUAUUUGUGGGGGCGUUUUGAUCAAGUGAUAAUGCAUGGCUGCUAAUAUGAUGCAUCUUGGAUUGUCUAAGGAAAUCCCACAAAUUAUUGAAUGCGAUUACUUGUCUACUCUGCACAUGAAUGAGAUCCGUUCUUUUUAUUUUCUUUUCUUUUUUGUUUAUUUAAAUCGAAUAUCAAGCAGGGGAAGUACUGGAUCAGUUUUACCCACACCAAAAAGGACGAGUUGGUUCACUAUCUUUAAGGAUAUUGAAAUGUCCCCAAGUCAUACAUGAUAAUUCCCUCUUUAAUGGAUAUGGUAGGAGUGUUUGUUGUGAACUUCACACGUAAUUCGCUAAUUUUUUUAAUCAAUGAAUCCGUAUAUCAUUCAUAAACAACAAUUUUGACAGGUAUAUUUUAUACUAGUUCAGAAAACUAUGUUGCACCUAAUGAUGCGUAAUCAAAGUAACACUGAAAAAGAUGACUCCUGGUAUAUAGAAAGCAGCAUUCUGAUCACCUUAUAUACUUAGGCCAUUACUCUUAGACCUUAACCUUAACGUCCAAGAAAGUUAAUUGUUGCCCGUUUUAAUGGAUCCAUCAAGAAUUUCCAUCCGCCCAUUCAAACUUUCUGAUGUUGACGAUUUCCUGAAAUGGGCCAGUGAUGAUAGAGUAACCUGGAAUUUGAGAUGGAAUUCCAUUACCUCUAAAGAAGAAGCACUAGAGCACCUUGAAAAGGUUGCCAUACCUCAUCCAUGGCGUCGGUCCAUAUGCUUGGAUGAUCGUUCUGUUGGAUACAUUUCGGUUUGGCAAUUUUCAGGGGAUGAUAGAUGCAGAGCAAACAUUGGAUAUGCAUUAUCUACAGAACAUUGGGGACAAGGGGUAGCUACAAUUGCUAUGAAGAUGUGUUUGUCUAGUGUGUUCAAGGACAUACCUGACCUGGUCAGGCUUGAAGCUUUUGUGGAGGUAGAGAACAGAAGAUCUCAAAGGGUAGCAGAGAAGGUUGGAUUUCUGAAAGAAGGUUUAUUAAGAAAAUAUAUGUACUGUAAAGGUGAAAUUAGAGAUUACGUUGUCUACAGUUUCCUGUCAACAGACAAGAGUUUGUAGUCCAUAUGGUUGAACCCAUCCCUUUUCCCUGAAAAUCUGUAAAUUUACCUUGUUUUUAUCUUCUGAGGAAAUUUUACAUUGCUCUUAUUAAAUAGAGUUCCAUUUUAUUUAUUUAUUUGUCUAUAGUUGCAUAUAUUAAUGCAAGAUGUUAAGGGUUCAAAUCCUAAUAGUCUUGUUUGCUUCAAAAAAAUUUAGAAGUGCCAAAAACAAAAUCAUCUCAAUUUGCUUGGCUUAUGAGAUUUAGGACCCAUCUCUCAUAGCUUAGAGGUUGAGUCUGUACCUCCCAAUCUGUAACUUGUUACCUGAUAUUUUAAUAUGAUGGGGCUUAUCCUCACCUUUCAAAUAUGCUCUGCUAUUGCGUGUAGCAGCAGCAAUAGAGAAAUAGCAUGGCUAUAUCUAGGCGGCCAGCCUUGUUUGACCAUCUAAGCAAAGGGAAGUUAAAAUUGCUUAUAGAUGCUCCGGGUAGAUGCCUACUACUUUCUUGGAAGAAACGUCCUCGCCCAUCCUUUCCUUUUAUCUCUAACGUUCUUAUUGUCUGUCUUUAUGGAUCCAUCAAGAAUUUCCAUCCGUCCUUUCAAGCUUUUCGAUGUUGAUGAUUUCCUGAAAUGGGCUAGUGAUUAUAGAGUAACGCGCUAACUAAGAUGGAACCCGAUUACCUCCAAGGAAGAUGCUUUCACAUAUAUGGAGAAAUUUGCCAUUCCCCAUCCUUGGCGUCGGUCCAUCUGUCUCGAUGAUUAUUCAAUCGGAUACGUUUCCAUCAGUCCAGAAUCGGGUAAUGCUCGAUGCAGAGCACACCUUGGCUAUGCAGUAGCUGCUGAAUUCUGGGGACAAGGGAUAGCAACAACUGCACUGAAAAUGGCUAUGUCUAGUGUGUUUAAUGAUUUUCCUGAGUUGGUCAGGAUUGAAGCUCUAGUAUAGGUAGGGAAUAUAGGGUCUCUUAAGGUUGUAGAAAAAGUUGGGUACUUGAAAGAAGGCUUGUUAAGGAAAUAUGGGUAUUGUAAAGGUGAAAUUAGAGAUAUGUUUGUCUACAGUUUCCUGUCAACGGACAAGGUUCUGUAAAUUGAUAAGAGAGACUGCAAUAUUGAGAAUUGCAAAUCUUGAAUUCUCGUCGAGUAAAAAACGUCAGGCUGCCAGUGCUUCAUAUUUCCUCCUGGGCUCCAAUAAACAAGUUUUGUUUGGGCCAUGUUUGAUUUUGGAUGUUGAAGACUUUUGGUCUUUUGUGUCUAAAGGAAACAGAGUUACUGAUUAGAGAAUAGCUUAAUUGGUAUUAUUAUUAUUAUUCGUGAGAAUUGAAGAGAUUUCUAAUUCGUAGUCUUUUAGUAUAAUUAUUCUUUUCAGAAUGGUUUCUUUGAUAUGAGUUAAUACAUCUUUCAAUUAUGAGAUUCUUUGGAAAUCAAUACUUUUAAAUCCCUCAACUAUUUUUCUAAAAAAAAAAAUUCUCAAAAUACAAAAGAAAAGGAGGAACUCACCAUUGAAUUAUGUAUUCAGUAGUCACUUUCUAUGAUGGACUAAUCACUAUAGAUUACAUAAACCUAUCACCUACAAUUAGAUAAACUAAUCCCCAAUUAAUUGAUUGAUAAACAAGAACAGAAGAAAUAACCUGAUGAAAGUAACCACGAAACAAUAACAAGAGACAAGAAACAAAAUUGGAAAAUAAAUAUAGACUAGCUAUUCUUGCCAAAGUAAUUUUAUUUAUGUUUUUUUAUGUACUUGAAUAGACUAAAAAACAAAGCUGCAUGGAAAAUGAUUUAAUAAGUUUUGUGGGUACUGAACACAUCAGCUUUGCAAGUUAAGUUUGAAUGCCAUAUCUUAUUUGUAUCCGCAACAAAUCAAAGAAAGGAAAUUCUCUAUGCUGCAUACUAUUGGACAUGCCUCCAUAAUAAUGGAGAUGUUUUUAGGCGGAUUUUGUCUUUUAAAUUAUUUAUAGACAUAUAACUUAAUAAAAAUAAAUUACAUCAAUAAAUAAAUUCAUAUUACCUAAAUUUAUCAUAUUUUAAAGCUUUGUAAUUAUAAUAAUUCUGAAUUUAUUUGCAGAUCUAGCCACAAUAAUAAUGGAGUUAAAAAUUUUACCUUAGUCCUUUAUAAUAGGGUUUGAGAAAAAAAAAACCAUUUAAAUGGAUAUCUGAUUCAAAACUGAUUAAACCGAAUCAAAUUUAUUGGAUACCCGAACCGAUAGUUUAGGUUUAGGUCUCAAUAUCUUUUAUAGUUUCAGUUUUUAAUUCAUUUUUAGUUUUUUAAAUAAAAGAAAUCGCAGUUUUUGAUUAACCGACUAAAAAUAUUAUAUUUUAUAUAUAUAUCAUAAAUAUAUAUAAAAUAAUCUUAUUUUCUUCUCUCAUCAAUAUUGAUGACUAAGAAUUACUUCAUUUGUCUUUAAAUUUGGAUUUUCUUCUUAUGAUGGGUAUUCAUACAAAAAAAAUUAAACAAAUUUGUAUCUAAAUAUUUAGAAUUUAUAUACUUUUUAGAAUAAUAUACUUUUAUAAUUAACAGCGACAGACUAUUUAUAAUUUCAUGAUCGAUGCAGUUUUUUAAAGAAACUGACUUUCUUCUUGUAAAAGAAUGAUAUAUUUUUUCUCAUGAUAAAAGAAAAUACACAAAGAAGAAAAAAGUUGCUAAUGAUUCAUUUAAAGAAUUUUGCAUUUAGAAGAGUAAAGUUGAAUGGCAUGAAUCACUGAACAAUGUUACAAAUGUGUGUAAUGGUAGCAGCGUCGGCAGAGACAUUACCUGGGCCAGCAAGCAGCAAUUGGGUAGCAGGGCGGGAUUCUAUUCUAUCAAACAUGUCAAAUUCGACUUGAACACUUCACUUCAGUGCCAUGAAGAAAGGCAUGACGAUGAACAGAAAUAUGGGGCCACCAACCACCACUUAAUCCAUCCUAUGAAAGCGAACAUCUCAUUCUCAACUCCAACCUGCCAAACCAAAUGGGCCUUUUUCUUUUUCUUUUUCUUUUUUUAGGAAUUUUUUUUUUUUUUUUUGCUAUGAGCAUGCAUUAGGAGAAAAAAAUUAGAUUAAAUAAUAAAAUAUGAUAUUAUUUAUUAAAAGUUGUAUUUGUAUCAAUUAAUUGAUUGAUUUAUUAUUAUUAAUUAUUUAUAAGUAAUAAUUGAUAAAUAUGAAUAUAAUAAUUAAUAAAUAAUGUAACAUGUUGUCAUAGAAUUAGUUCUACAGAGACCGUGUGUUUAAAAUUUUAUAAAUAUCUAAGAUGAAAUAGAUAUACUUUUUUUUAUAGAUAUAAAUAGAACCAAAACUCAUAUCUAAUAGUUAAUUAAAUGUUUAAUUUUUAAUUUUAGAAUGCAUCUAAUUAUUUCAUGAAAUAUAUUAAAAUAUCAUAUUUUUUUUUUAUUCAAAGCUUUUUAUUUUUAUAUUUACUAUAUUUGAAUUUUAUUUUCAGAAAAUAAAAUCUCUCCCACUACCAUUUCUAUCCGCAAUCAUCUAUAAAUAUAUUUCUAAGAAAUUUUAAUUAUAUAAAAAAAAUUCCAUAUCCUAAUCAUCUUUGGUCAUCACUAUCCUAUCAAACUAUAUCAAAACAUCACCGAUACCAUUUCACCAAUAUCCACCGUAGCCACCACCUCUCCACCCAGAAUCCAUAUCCCUUUGCAUUUCUUCUUUCAACCAUUCUUAACAAAAUGUCAAAUCCAAUAAACCCCCGUAAUAUCAAGCUCAUUGUCAAAAUCAAUCUCAAAUUCAAAAUAAAUAAAUAAAUAAACCUCAAAUCAACUAGUAAACUACGAGAAAUAAUCAAGAAAAUUAACUAUAUAGCAAAACAAUAAAUUGAAAGUGAACUUAUAUUGUGGAGGAUCGAACCAAUUACCUCCAUAAAAUAGAGUAGCCACUUAUGGGUAUAUAUUGUCAAACCCAUAUAUUCUUAUUAUCAAGAAACAUGUUGCUGCCACCACAUCAUCUAGAAAAUCGCUUAGGUAAGUAAAAUCCAGAAUGGUUCAGUUUGUAAAUUGAGCAAUUUUUUUUAAUUGUCUGUUAAUUUGAUAUUAUACUAUUUGGUAUUGUAUAAUAAAAAAGAGAGUCAAGUAUCCACUGAUAAUAUUAUAUAUACUAAUUAUUAUUAUUAUCAUUACACACUCUAAUACCAUUCUCACCUCUAUGAUUAUAUAUCAUAUCAGAAAAUCGAAUUGAUAACCAGUUUUAAUGGUUUCAAUAAAAACAUGAUUUUCAUCUUAUCAUCUUUCAUAAUAAGAAUCACUCUUUAUAUCCACAAACAUAAAUAUGUAUUCAAUUAACUCUAAUAAUAAAAAAGAGACGUUGUGAUUGUAUUUUAGAAUUUAUACGAAAGUGCAUUAAAAAAAAUAUUAAAAAAUAAUAAAUUAUUUAAGAAAAAAGCAUUAUAUUUUUCGAUUGUUGAACUAUUCUAUUACUUCUUUUACAAGCGUGCAUAAUUAAAACUCUUCAUUGUCAAGAUUGGAUUGAUAAUUUAGUCUUUAAAAGAGAUGAUUUUCUUAUUUACUAAAAAAGUUAAAAUCUAAUCAAUCUAACCCUUUGAUACAAAUUGAGGGGGCAAAUUAACCCUUUACCCCAUCAAAGAUUAUUGGCAGCUUGAACUCAGGGUACGACCAAGAAUUUUUCUCCACUAGACAUUGUUGCGCUUUAGGUGGUGUCAAUUCUUAUAUAGUCUCAUCAAAACUUUCUUUGGACCCCAUUGUCAAAUGCUCAUGUAUCAUUAAUUAAAUGAUCCUAAUAUUAAUAAGAUGCAAAAGAGAAAAAAAAAAAAAAAAAAAAAAAAAGGAAAAAACAAUCAAUUCAAUGUAGGCUCCAGUGGGUAGGUCAUGGCCUUUGGGUGAUUGGUUGGAGAUUUUAUUUUUCUAAAAGGAGCUUGAUUCCUCACCAGUUGUUUGCCUCUCCUUUGUGGAAGGCGACACAUAGCUGUCUAACGCCCAAUCAAACCAAAGGCUGUCCCAAUCUACGAAGACCCUUUUAGAAAAUGAAACCCUAAGGAUCAUAACCCACCUCUCAUUAACACAAGCAGGAAAUAUGGGUGAUUGGGGUUAUACAUUUAAAUGUCCCUUAACUUCGUAGCAUCACAUGUAUUACCAACAACUUUUGUAUGGAUUUCCCCUCCCUAAAUAAUGUUUUGAAUCAUUUUACUUUAAAAUCAUGACAAACUGUAAGGAUGUAUUUUGGUUUUCAUUGCUAUAACUCUUUUACAUGAAUGGAUAAAGAUGUUCUGAUUCAAUUGCAUUGUCAUCUAAAAUGGAUGAUUUAAAUAAACCCAAUUCUGAAAAGUAGUGAACCAUAAGUGUAGUUUAUGUUAAGUGUCUCUUGGAGAUUGUAUUGUCUUAAAUAAUGAAAUAGAAUAACAAGUUCACAGUUGAGUGUCCAAAGGAGAUGAGGAACCCACUUUUGUUAUGUUCUAUGUGCUGCUAUGUAAUGCAUUAUUAACUUAUUAGUUUAUGGACCCUAACUCCUGGCAAUUAUAUAUAUAUAUAUGUUAGGGCAUGAUUAGCGCUUUUGUUUCUUUUACUAUUGAACAUUGAUAACAAAAUUGAUAUAAAGUACAGUUGAGGACAAAUUAUCAUGAAAUUGCCUUCUUGUGUUUAAUUCUUUUUUCUUCUUUUCAUUUUCUAUCUCUGCCUUAAUCCUCAUGAUUCAUGUGUCAUGCCCUUCUGCCCUCUGCUCCCACUAUUGGGGACAGUUUGGCCUUCAAACUUUAUAAUAAAUUUUAUUAUAGGUGUAUUUUAUAUUACAGGUAAUCUACCUUUUCAUAUAAAGAGAAGUACAAAUAUCUCAUUGUAAGUUAAAUAAGUACAUUUUAAUAUAACAAAUAUAGAAUGUUAUUAAUUAUUAAAAAAUGCAUAAUCCACUCCAUUGUGAUGGUAUUAACUCGACUUCAUUUGUUUUCUUAAUUGAAUUCAAUUUUUUGAAAAUUAGAUAUAGUCUUUUUAUCAUUUCGUCAAAGAAAGAUUUAGUUGUUUUAAAAAAUGAAGAGCUGAAUAACUCUAUUAAAGUAUAAAUAGAAAUUAAAACUAUCAACAACAACAAUGUCGAUAGCAACUGUAACGAUUCAAAAUCAAAUCAUAUGAAAAACUAUUGUCUUGCUUUUAACUUCAUAAUUUUAUCCCACGGUGGAUUUAAAGAUUAUCUAAGGAUUUAGGAGGUAGUUAAUUUUGAGUUCUUCUUGAAUCAAGCAUAAUUUUAGAGUUUCUUCAAACUUCAUAGCUGAAGUGUAUCGUAUGAGACCUCAUAUAAUUAGUAUUCUCCACAAAAAGCUUUCAGCUCAACAACCCCAAUAAGUAUCAAGUAAAAACACUCAAAUACAAUCAUUAUUACAUCCUUAUGUAUGCAGUGACUAAGUUUAGGAUCAGAGAAACUUUAACAAGCCUUAAGUAAAGGAGCAAAAGUGUACUCAUUAGGCCGAACUCCUUGAUGUUUCAUUCGGGAAGAAAAAAAAGAAAUGAGACUUUAAUCAUUGCACUAAAGGUUAAUAUAUUGGGGUUUAGGAAUUGGAGAAACGCAACUUGUGAAAGAUACUUUGUUUGGAGACCCGCAAACUGGCAAGAAUAUGUUGAGGUGGUCAAGACGAUGGACAAGGAAAUGAGCAUGGAUAUGGUUCUGGAAAUGAUCAGAAAUCCUAAUUGUUUCAAGAAAGAAGAAGAAAAAUUGAUAAGACUCGACGUCUUUUUAAUUCAAAUGGGAGUUGAGUGAGCAUGAAAUGUUAAUUAAUUUUUUUUUAAUUUUAAAAGAAAAUUACAUGUAGUCGUCAAACAAUCAAAAUUGCUAAUUCUCUGUUUUUCGAAAAAUUAUGUUGAAUAAAGAAAAUUAUAUUUAAAUUUAUUUAAAAAUAAAUAAAUUAGUUAGACUUGUUAAGUGAAAAGUUAAAAACUUUUCUAGAUAAUUAGACUGGAUUUUUAUUAUAAAAUCUGAAAAUUAUUGUUGGAGUAUUAAAAAGGUAUAUUCAAUAAAAUAUAUAUUUAAAUCUCUUUCUAAAAAUUAAAAUUUUAAAAGAAAGUCUUAAAACUAGAAAUUAGAAUAAUGAAUGGAGUUGUUUUGGGAAUCAAAACAAGCAGCGCUCGUGGCCUAAUGGAUAAGGCGUCUGACUUCUAAUCAGACGAUUGUGGGUUCGAGUCCCACCGAGCGUGUUCAUCUGCUAAAGUAUUUCUUUUUUUUUUUUUCCUGGUUUUGCUACUUGGUUAAACAGUUAGCUUCUUUAUAAUAAUGUUCACGAUGAAAAUUACAAUGUUUGGGAAAUUAACUAAAAUAAAUUUAAAUACAAGACAUAGGAGAUGGUAAAAGGUAGAAGUGUAGUGAAGUGUGGUGUGGGCCAGUGUCUGUGUGUAGUGCAUAGUAAAACGUGACGAGUGGCCAUCAUUGACACUGUAGAACUCAUCAUUUCGGAACGGGGCCCUCUAGAUUCUCCGUGUUAACUGUUAUUCUCUAACUUUCUGUUUAAGUACUCGUAUCAUGGGAUAUAAGGCUUUCCCUGCUCAUGAACCAAAAGUAACCUUAAAAUUAUGGUAAAUUUGAUGUUUUUAUCCCCCAAAAUUAGGAAUUCUAUAAUAUCUCGCACCAUUCAAUAAAAUCUUCAAUUCUUACACAUGAUCUUACAGAUGAAUAUUACUCCUCAGUUGUGCAAUUAAUUAUUAGUGCUAUAUAUGCUUUUACUAAGGUAUUAACCAUUUUUUCUGCUGAAGGUAGCCAACACUUGGUAACUAGAACAUGGGGAUAAAUAUUGCAAGGAAACAAGAUCAUUUCUUUUUUUAAAUUAAUGGAAUAUAAUUUGUCCAUAGCAAGCCAAACCAAAUUGAAUUAUAUCAUAGGGUCUUGGUUGGUACGGUUGGGCAGUCUCGUCAGCCUUUCAGUUUGUGUUUAUUAUAAUAUUCUCAUGUCCAGUGACGACGAUGGUGAUGAGAGGAAGAAAACCCAUCAUUCAUCAUCAUUUUAAAAGUUCCACUGUUAAAAAAAAAAUCCAUAGUUUCAGAGUUAAAAGAGAGAGAGAGAGAGAGAGAGAGAGAGAGAGAAAGAGAGAGAGGAAGAGAAAUAGCUAAGGCACUUCUUCGCAUAAAACCAACGUGGAAAAAACUGCCAUUUGUAGCCAACGACAGCAGAUAGGAGAGUAGUAACAGUAGCAGUAGCAGUAGUGGUGGUUUUAUCAAAUCCACUAAUUUCCAUGCACACACACUCCCUUUUAAGAUCACCCAACCAACCUCCUCAAUCCCACGAGCUUUCUUUAUUUCUUUCACUCUCCCUCUCUCUCUUCACUUUCACUGUCCUCUCUGCAAAUUCAUGGCGAUUUUUCAGGUCUGAUGAUGGAAUGACUGAUAUAGUGGGGUUGAAAGGGACCAAAAAGUGAAGUAAAAGAUAAAAAGAGGUGGAAAAGAGAGUAAUAGUGUCUCCGGUAUUUCCCAUUCACCGUUUAACCAGUCUUUUUUUUUUUUCCCCUUCUUUCCUUUUGUUUUUGGUUUCAUGCAUUGGGUUCUUUAAAUUGUGUGUUUCUUGGGUUCCUCAACUGGGUGUUUUGUCUGCUUCUUAAGCUUCGAAUUUGAUGAACUUCUCUUUGAUGAUGAUUAUAAAUCAUCUACUCUUGUGCUAUUUAUUUUUGUAAUUUAUGCAUUACAAAAGCCUUAAUUAGUUAGAGAUUGAAAAAGAGGAAAAGCCCAAAAAAAGAAAAGAAAAAAAAGAGAGAAAGAAAAGGGGUAAAACAAAAAUACAAAACCUUUGUUCUGCUACUACUGCUGUUGGGUGUCUGGUGCAUGCACGUCUGGUCUCUUGAUCAUGACUCGUGAGGGCCUUCUUGCAUGUCUGGCUCUGUAAGCUCAGUGAUUCUUGCUCAUGAGGUUUUGAGGAAGAAAAAAAAAAGGAGAGCGAGAAAAUCGGGGAAAAAGUGUCUUCUUUGGUUUUUCUUUUCCUUUUUCGUUUGGAGUUUUUGGUUUGUGUCUGUGCUUUAAAGAAAUGCAUUUCAUAAAGCCAUAGCACAAAGAGAGACGCAGAGACAGAUGUGCAUGGAUUUUGUUCCGAGUUAAAUAAAGAUUGUAGCUUUGACUAUACUAGCUAGCAUCACUCUUUGGCCUCUCUUCCCAUAGUUUAAACACUUCCAACCAAAUCACGAGUUCUCGAAUUUCUUCCUGUUUUGAUUUUGGAGCUUGAAGUCUGUGUUGAUCUUAAAAGUCUUGGAAUCAAUGGCUAUUUCUGGGUAAAAACACAAUCUUCUCCUGGUAAAUAUCUUCUCCUCUCCGUCUUUUACUGUCUUUAGUUAAAUUUCUAGUAAACAAGUCUUUUAAUUUGGUGUUAGGAUUCAGGCUCUGUUCGCGGUGGGGAGAUAGGAAUAUAUUUUAAGUGAUGAUAAGAAAGAGAUCAAGAGUAUCAAGCAGUAAGCAAGUUCUAAUGGCAGAUUACAGCUCAAUUUUGUCUCCAACAGAAAAAUAUAGAAAACCCACUUCUUUUCCAAGAUUGUUUACAGGUUUCAGUUUCAAGAAUUUCUCUGAAACAACGGAGUCGGUCAUGAGUCCAACUUCAAUUCUUGAUAGCAAACCCUUUUCUGGUUUCAGAAAUCCUUUCUUGCCAGACCAAAACCUCACCCCUAAAACCCAAGAAUCUGAUACUAAGCGCACCUGGGACAAGCUUGACUCAAAAGGCAUUGGUCUUGCCAUUGUUGAUGCUCUUAAUUAUGAUGAUAAAACGGAUUCCAAUUUAUCAAAACCCGAGAGCAGAAUGGUUCUUUUCGGGUCACAGCUAAAGAUCCAAGUUCCUCCUUUGCCCGUUUCACCAACAGAUCAAUCUCCCAAAUCUCCUGCUGAUUUUGGCAUCAAAACAAGGCAUUCUCAGUUGGGUUCAUCCUCUUCUGGGCUAUCUCAUUCUCCUGUUAAGAAAUCAGUAUGUGGUUCAGCCAAUUCGAGUAUAGAUACUUCGAGUUCUCCUGGGGUUUUCAAUGGAUCCCUCUCUGCGAUUGAGAUGGAGCAAUCUGAGGAUUACACUUGUGUAAUCUCAUAUGGGCCUAAUCCAAAAACUACUCACAUAUUUGAUGAUUACAUUGUUGAGAGCUGUUGUGAUGUUGUUGAGUUUUCUACUUCAAGGACACAGACUAAUGGGUUUCUGGGUGAUGGUUCAAGUUAUCCAUCAGAUAAUUUCUUAAGCUUCUGUUAUGCUUGCAAGAAGAAUCUUGGGCAGGGAAAAGACAUAUACAUGUACAGGUUGGUUUCAAGCUGCCAUUUAUGGAAUGUUUCCCAUUCUUUUGAUACAUAAUUAACGUGCAACUUUGCGUGCUGAGUACUUUCUCUUCUAAAAUGGUAUUUUUAGCUUAAAAUUUGGCAGCAGCAACGAGAGAAGUCGUAACUUUUGCAUAUGUAAAAUUGGUUUAAAUUGACAACAGUGUAAAAUUCCUGAUCCAUAAUCAUUUUUCUUGCAUGUUUGAAAUCCAUGCUUGUCUCUCCUCUUAAGUAAUGGGUUAUUUCUGUUGCAGAGGUGAAAAAGCAUUUUGCAGCAGUGAAUGCCGGUACCAGGAAAUGCUAUCAGAGGAGGGAAUAGAUAAGCUGGACCAUGAAGAUGGCUAUGGGACUUGUUCACAAUAGUUUUCACAGAAUCUCUAUUAGUUCCUCGUUACUUUUGCCUCAAAAUGGCCAACCAAGCACCCAAAAGACCAAACUCUUUCCUUCAGGAUGACAGCUUUGUAGUUAUUAUAUUACAAGUAAAAUUCAAGACAGAUGAUUGUCGAGCAUAAUUAAAGAUAGUUUCUUGAACGCCUGCCCUUUCUUGAAAAUGUUAUUACUCUUUCUACAUAAAGAAAUUUCUUUUUUCUCUAUUGAUUUUCACUUUCUUAGGUGAUUGCUUUUGAGCUUGUCCACAGUUUUUGGGUUUGGCAAGGUGAUGAUGUAUGACUGAAGCUUUAACAUUAUCUUUUUCUUAAUUUUGUACACUAAUUAUCUCGUGAGUAAAGCACAAAGAACCAAUAAGCUUAACUAAAAUAGAUUCUUUUCUUUUUCUUAAUAUGUAGGCCCUCAAAAACUUUUGUUAAUUGAAUUAAUGUCUUGGUUAUGUUCGUUUUGUCAAGCUUUACCGGCUACAUUAUUGAAUGAGUUGGAAUUAUACUCUGUCCAAUAAUGAUCUCACGACUAAUUGUUUGAUUAAGAAAAAUAAUUAUGAGAAUAAGUAAUGGAAAAGAAUAAUGAUCCAUAUUAUUAUUAUUAUCCUCGCAGAUGAACAUUUUUAAAGUUCUUAAAUGGGAGAAAGGGGCAUAAAAAUUUUAACUUUUGAUAUUUAAUAUAUAUUUACAUUACAAAUUAGAUACUCAAUUAUUACCCAACACUAUUGCUGCAACAUUGAGGCUAGCACUGAAUAAAUUCAUCAGAAGCUUAAUGGGUCAUAAACAAUACAAUACAAAUGAAAAAGUUACAAACUUUUAUAAAUACUGGUGGAGAUGGUGAGAGACAUGCUCUAUGUUUGCUUGCUACUGGUGAUAAUAAUAAUAAUAAUAAUAAUAAAUACAAUUGAAAAGAGAGACAGUAAAACGAUGAAUGUAAUUAAUCUUUUAGGUUUAGUUUUCACAUCUUCCCCGACUUACAUAAGUUAGUUAAUUGUGAUUCAAGUUUUUUAAACCCAGAGAGAAAAAAAGGAGAAUUUUAGGUGACUUUAAAGGCCAAACCGCUAGCUUUUUGAUACUAGAACAAAAGCUUCAUAUGGCAUCUGCAUAAAGCAAACACACAAAGUUAGUUUUGAUUCUUUUCAAGUACUCAAAAGUUGCCAUCAGCAAUAUAAUACCUUAUGAGACUUCUCUAUAUUGAGAAUUUCAUCUCGUGUGUACUUCCAUAUUGGAACACUGCUUAUGUCUAUCUGUUGUUUUUUUUCAUUUUCUAGAUGCAUGAAACUGUUGGCUUGUGAGCAAUCUAAUCUAUCAAGACGGUAGAGGAAAACAAAAAGAAAGUACAAAUAAACUUAUCCAUUAAUUAAUAUGUAGAUUACUAGAUUAGUAAAUAAGAAAGUUUAAUUAGACUGAGUGGGAAAUGGGAAAUACAGUAAAAUGUAUACAUGUGUGUAUGAGAGUUUAACUGAGAAAGACCCUUUUUUUUCUUUUCUUUUCUUUUUCCCCUUCUCUUUCUGGUUAUAAUGGGGAAAACUUUAAAAUACACAUGCAAAAGCAUAGAAACUCCACUGAUACGAGUCAAGAUGUGGAGGAUUGAGGCAGACAAAGCGGUCCUGCCUGCCUAGCACAGAAACAGAAUGGUAGUGGAUAACGCCUUAUUUUAGAAUCAAAAUUUGGGACCAUUGGUUCCUCCUCUCAUUUGAAACUUUGAGAAUUUUACAUCUUCUAUCAUUGCUGUCUUGCCCAGUGCCACUGCUUCUCAUUUUCUCACUUAACCCUCUUUAUAGGCCAUACAGAAUUGGUUCUCUUCCCCUUUGUUUUAUGCAAAAUGCAACCAUUUUUUUUCUUUUUACUUUUAUCAAGAGCAAAUGGGUUAUAGAUGUACAUACUAAUUUCCAUAUCGAAAGUGGUAUAUCUUAAAUUACGUUUAUUAUCUGGAAUUGGUAUUUUAAUUAAGUUUCUUACCUAAUCAUUGGUUAAUAAACAGGUUGGUGUGGGUUGGAAUUAUUGCCUUAAAUUGGAGCCGCACACAAACCAAACAGAUAAUAAAAUAAAGUGGUAUGUGGCGCAUAAGAUUUGAAGAUCAUAUAUCCUAAAUAAUAUCUUAAUUAAUGACGUGUUAAAAUAAUUUUUCAAAUAAUAAUUGAUAACAUUAACAUCAAUCAAAACUAUAUUCAGUGUUUACUCUAACUCCAAUAGUUUUUCUCUUCUAUUACUCUAAAACUGAUUACCAAAAUCGGUGACUUUCAUCAGUCGCACUCAUUUGUCAUAUCACCCUCAACUUCCUUGUUGACUAUUGGCUGGUAAGUUUCUUAAUAGUAAAUUUCAAUGCGAGACUGUGACAUCCCAUACACUAAAAUACAUAUCUAGAAGACAGUUAAGCUACCUUUAUAUGGUAAAUACAUACAUAAUAUGAAUAUAUAUAUAUGUAUUCAUCCUUGUGGUUAAUAGAAUAAUCAAAAUUUAGAGAGUUGGGUUCAAUUAAAUAAUAACAGAACAACAACGAAUAGAGUCAAUAGAUAAUCUUUUAUGAUAGUCAUGUUAAUUCUCCCUCCAAGCUUAAUAUAAAUGUUAGCAAUUCUAAUAUAACUAUUCCCUUGUGUUUAUGUUUCUAAACAAGUUUUGCAACUCUGGUUUCCUUGAUCAAUAAGUGGUCUUCCCGAGUUUCAAGCUCUUAUUACAGUAAUUUUACUUCUCUUCUAUCACAUUUGACUUCUGCACUUGUGUUCUCACAAAAUUAACCAUUCAUUUCUAGAUUUAAAUUUCACUUAUUUGUAUUGGGCCUAAUUCGUACAAAAGAACCUUACAAAAUGGCCCAUAUCUACGAAUAAUUGUCCGCGGGAUGCGUCUGGCCCGUAUUUUAGCCCAAAAAUUCCCACGGCCGACGGUUAAGUUACGUGUCAAUACACUAACGGCUUUUAUCUUCAAGAACACACAUGAGGAUAUUAAAGUCAUUUCGAACCCAACUAACAAGUACCACUUUAAGUAGCAGUUGUUGACCAGUUAAAAAGGCUUUCAGUAAUUAUUUUAAUGGCUUCAAUAAAUUUUACUUUAGUCCCAAACUUACCCUCUCAAAAUCUAUCUUUCUUCUUUACCACCUCCUUUUCUGCUCCCUGCCAUCUUCACCGGGAAAAACCUCUCUGUAUCAUUUCUAGGCGGAGGUCUAAACGGAAACCGGCGAUAGCGAUGGCUAUGCCGUCUCACCGGCGGGAGAGAAGCGAUGAGACGUCGCUUUUGAUUUCGGAAAAUAGUGAGUUGCUGAAACGUGUUAAUCAAAUACUUAAUCAUAAUAAUUUUUCUUAAAAAAUAUAAUCUGUGUUUAAUUAUGGUUUUGGAAAGGUACCGGUAAAGGCGAAAUGGUGGCAAGGAGUGAGGUGGAAGAAGAGGGAAGUUAUAGUGGCGUGCGUAAAAAUAGGAAAAUGAGUAGUGGCAGACUGAAAUGUUUUGGUGUGGAAUUGUCGCCCGAUAAUGUGGCAGUCGCAAUGGUGUAUUUUGUUCAAGGUGUUUUAGGGCUUUCUAGACUUGCUGUCAGUUUCUAUUUAAAAGAUGAUUUGCAUUUAGAUCCUGCUGAGGUAUGCCUUCUUUUUCAUUCUUUUUUAAUUACGUCAUUGUAGCGAGAUAGAUUAUUGUGGAUUUGAUGUGCUACAAUUCAAUCAUGUGCAAGAGUUUAAUUUAAUUCAAUUAGAUUCUGACCAAAUUUUGUUAUUUUUGUAGCAUGAUUCAUUUCUUUCUAUUUUUUUUUUUUUGAAGUUGAAAGAAUUAAUUUCUAGCAACCAUGGCCUAUCUAAACUUGAUAAUUGAAUAAUUGGAAUCCAAUUGAACUGAGUUCUUGCCUUUUUAAACUUUCCAAACACGCCUUGUUUGGAUCAUUCAAGAUCAUGUCACUUUAAAAUGAUUUCAUUUAUUUCAAAAUCUAUUUGAAUUGAAAAAAUUGGAAGCUUGGAACUAUGAACUUUCCAAACAUGAAAAUUGACUAAAAGGAAUUCAGUUCAACUGAAUUAUUGCAUUUCUAGACUUCCCAGAUACUAUGUAUGUAAGAAUGGGAAGUUUAAAAUCAUGAUGAGUAGUCUUGUUUUAAUUUAUGCUUUCAAGGACUGACAAUCUACAUGGUUGACUAGACAGCUGUGAUAUCUGGUUUUUCUGCACUACCAUGGCUUGUCAAACCUCUUUAUGGAUUUAUUAGGUGGGAGUCCUUUUUUUUUUUCUUUUUUCUUUUUUUUUACUUUUGCUCUUUGUAAACUCGUAAUUCAAUGUUUGUUAUCUAUACUUCUCUUUUGAUGAAUCUCUUGGUGUUGUUGCAGUGAUUCUGUUCCACUUUUCGGUUAUCGGAGAAGAUCGUACUUGGUUCUUUCUGGACUUCUUGGUGCACUCUCUUGGAGCUUGAUGGCUAUCUUUGUUGAUAGCAAGUAUGGCGCUGCUUUCUGUAUUCUUCUUGGGUCACUUUCUGUUGCCUUCUCAGAUGUUGUGAGUAUCUUCAACUUUCUGAAUUUGUUAAUAUGGUUGGAAAGAGUUGUGAACCUGUUUUAGGUUGGUUAAUGCGUUACUCGUCAUGGAACCAGUGAUUCUUGCCAGAUUAACUGAAUAAAGAUGUUUUAUUAGCUUUGGUGAUGCUGUCAUUUGAAUUGGUCAUUAAAAGAAGUGGCUUCACAUGUCUGGAAAUAUCUAUGAAAGAAUUGGAAAUUAGGCAUUUAAAACUUAUCAAUUCUAUCAAGCCCCAUAUCUGUUUUAGUAAACUUAAGAUUGCGGGUUAUUAUGAAAGUUAGACACAAAAACGGGCAGUUAUGUGCUCAAAUGCCCAAGGUUUCUGCAAUCAUACACAUUUAGUUAACACAUGCUACCACUUAAAUUCUCAUAUAACUGCCCACAAUGUUCUUUAUUCCUUAGCUUUUAGGAGCAUUUGUUAUCUAACUUCACCUCCUAUAGAGAUAGGUGUCCUUACCGACAUGUUAUUUUUGGUCCUAGUACAUGAUUCAAGAGUAUCAUGGACUAGUUUCUCUGGAGUAGUUUCUCUGUUGAUCAGGUAAGGAAUUACAAGAUCAGGUUUUAUUAACCCUCUUGGGUGUUUGAAUGGUCUUUAGGAUGUGUUUGCUUCUGCAUGCUUACCAAAAAUUAAUAAGAAUUCUAUGUCUGUCUUGUUGGUAAAGGUUUUCGGAUUUUUUUCCUUGAAAACAAUUGCCUAAAGACACGUAGGUGAUUUGUGCGUCUUUCAAUGUAGACGCACAUCACAUGCGUCUCUUUGAUGAGAAAUAUAAGCUGUGAAUUAUUUUGAUGAUUGCUUCCGACAAUACCUGGAUGGAAGUCCAUAGUUAAGUGGCAGAGAGACAAGCAUCAGAUAGGCGAUGCAUAUAAUUUUUGAAAGUUUAGUCGCUGGUGUGCCUUUGAUCUUUUAUCCGAAUUUUGUUUUAAUGUGUUUUUCUUUAUCUCUCUCUCUCUCUCCCUCACACAAAAAAUGCAUGCACACGCACACUAGUACUUGCAUACGUUUCUGCUCUUUUGUGCGCAUUUGUUUUCUAGAAAGCAUUUUCUCCCCCCAAGUCUUGGAGACUUGGGCAUUGCACUUUAUGUUGUCCUAUUCAUUCUGAUCAUCCUCACUAAUUGUCUUCAAAAAUUGACAAUGGAUAGGUUGUUGAUUCCAUGGUGGUGGAGAGGGCACGCGGUGAGUCACAAAGCAUGUCUGGAUCUCUUCAAUCUUUAUGUUGGGGUUCUUCAGCUUUCGGUGGCAUUGUGAGCUCCUACUUUAGUGGCUCUCUGGUGGGUGCUUAUGGUGUAAGGUAUUUGAGGCGGCCGUGCAUAAAUUUAAUAAUAUAGUGCUGGUGACAUUCAAGUAUAAUUAUAUAUCAUUUUGAGUUCUGAUUUUAUUAUCUCAGGUUUGUUUUUGGCGUAACGGCAUUGCUGCCACUGCUUACUUCUGGAGUUGCUGUUCUUGUGAAAGAACAGCGUAUUCUUGGUCCAAUAAGAGGACAAAAUCUUACUUUAGGUGGAAAUGGUUUUCUUGAAAGCUCAAAGCAGCAUAUUAUUCAGUUGUGGGAUGCAGUAAAGCAGCCGAACGUAUUUCUUCCAACACUAUUUAUUUUCCUUUGGCAGGCAACACCGCAUUCAGACUCUGCUAUGUUUUACUUCACGUAUGUGGAGCACUGAAUAUUGUCAUUUAUCCUUUAAUUUUGUUUCAUGGCUGUUGGAAAUUCUAUUGACUGCAACAUCUACAUAAUCUGCAACGACAUAAUCUUCAUUUUCAGCACAAAUAAACUUGGCUUCACCCCAGAAUUUCUAGGACGUGUCAAGCUAGUUACUUCAAUUGCAUCAUUGGCUGGGGUUGGACUAUACAACGGAUUUCUGAAAAAUGUUCCACUACGGAAGAUUUUUGUUUUUACUACCAUAAGUGGUACAGCUCUUGGAAUGACUCAGGUUAGUGUUGUGAUUUAUCUGUAGUCUAGGCUCACCUAUGAAUUAGUUGUUUUAUAGACAUUUAAUUGUGACAUUGUUUCUUAUUGUAUUUCUGGCUCAGGUUUUCCUUGUUACUGGACUUAAUCGACAAUUUGGUAUAAGUGAUGAAUGGUUUGCAAUUGGGGAUUCUUUGAUUCUAACAGUUCUUGCUCAGGUGAUUUAUUAUUUCUCUUACCUUAUUUUUUUCUUAACUAUAUUACUCAUACUGUUUGCGGUCUCUUAUACCCAGAAGAGGUGAUUUUUUAGCCCUUACAACUGCUGCAUUGCAGUUGAUAUCAUAAUUUGAGUUAUAUUUGUGAAGCAUGCCUGUGACUACUAUCAAAUGUGUCUCUUAAAAGCCCAUUAGUGGAAAAUUGCUAACUUUCUGUUCUUUUUUAGGCUUCAUUCAUGCCUGUUCUGGUGUUAGCAGCGAAGUUAUGUCCAGAAGGAAUGGAAGCAACACUUUUUGCAACUCUCAUGUCAAUAUCAAAUGGAGGAAGCGUUCUUGGAGGGCUGAUUGGUGCUGGUCUUACCCAGGUUUUUGGGAUUACAAAGGACAGCUUUGGCAAUUUAGCCUCUUUGAUCAUUCUCUGCAAUCUCAGCUCAUUGCUGCCCUUGCCACUCUUGGGGCUUCUUCCUCCCGAUACUUCUGAUACCAUCGCGGAGGAGGGUGGAGAUAUUGAGAUGAAGUCUAGUUGAAUGUGGGAUGCUCAACAUACAAUUCACUUCUCAAGCAUUGCUUCUGCCUGCGCUGAAUAUGGUACGCUUUUUUCUUGACUGUAGCUUACAAAAAUUACGGAGAGAGGAGAGAGAUUCUGUAAAUAUCAGAGAGUUGGAUACACAAAUAGAGACAGUUUGAAAGAUGCAGUUUACUCGACAUGCUAAGCUUAUCCUAUCAAUGAAUUAAGUGAUCCAAAGCUUUAUUUGACACUUGCCAAUGUGAAAGAUGCAGCAAAUCCUUAUGUAUAAUUUGAUCCUCCAAUGGAUGAGUCUGAUCCUAAGGUUAUCUUCUAAUCCAAAUUGAUUAUUGGAUGCUUUUAGAGCUCUGAACUGCUGCUGCUUGGACCAUCAUAUCCAUGUGGUUGUUAUCUAUCAAUUUCUACACCUGAACUAAUGCGAAUGAGUUGAAUAUUUGCAUUACUAACCCUGCAUGAUUGUGCAUACAUGCUCCAUGCACUAAUCAAAGUGAGAGCAUUGCUCAUCCUUAUCUAAUCGACAACUUGACAAAAUUUCAAAUGCUGUGAUCUUUGUGUAUGCUUUUUCUAUGGUUGCUAUAUUUCAUCAUUUUGUAUGGCUUGAUUUAGAAUAAUAAAUGAGAUACUAAUUAUGUUAAAUAAUAAUAAACAACAUGAAAUUUAGUCAACAUUUCUUUCAUUGUGUUAUUUUCUUUUGGGAAAAGAAAGAAGAUUAAGAGCUGACUUGGUUCUCUAUUAGUAGCCGAAAUAGUUGCUAAUAGUUACGAACUCAUAAUUUAUAUGUAUGAACUGUGUAAUAAAAACUUGUUAGAGCAUCUCUAGUGCACUCUUUAUAUGUGAAACUUUUUAUCUUAAAGAGUCCUAUCAUAAAAUAGUACUCUAAUGCACUCUUUAUUCUUUAAAUAUAAAGUAGAGAGUCAAUAUAGAGAGCUAAAUUUUACUUUUAAAUAAAAUAUUUCUCUUUAUAUGUGAAUAUUUUUUAAGAUGCUAUUCAUAAUAGAAAUUAUGUUCUUUGAAAUAAAAAGCACCAUUAGGGAUGUUUUCAAUGAUGCUUUUAGUUGUUGUUGGCAUGUAUGAGUGUGUAUAUUUCAUUUUUGAAUAUAUAUUAUCAUAUAUUUUAUAUUAUUAAGUAUUGAUUUGUUAUUAAAUAUUUAAUUUUUGAAGCCAUUUCAGAAGUAGGUGUUUAAAUUUUAUCAUUAAAAGAUUUAUUUUUCCGAGAUACUAUAACUAUGAAUUUUAUACUAUUUAAUUAAUGACUUAAAUUUCAAAACAAUGAAUUUUUGCAAUGAAUUAUAUAAUAAAUUAAUUUUAUGGCAUCUAAAAACAAUCUUUGUCAAGAUGUAGCAAUUUAUUAUAUGGCAAAUUAAUUACUCUUGUUGUGGUUUUUUUCAAUUUACUUUUUUUUUUUUUUUUUUUAAGUAAGUUGGUAAAAGAGGAGUUUAAGAACUGUAGUUGGGACAGAAUUAAGGUUCGCGUUGUACUCAUGCUAGUUUAAUUAACGAUAAAAAACAAAAUUAGUUAGCUUCCCAAUAAGGCAAGCAAAAACUGUUGUUAACUUUACCUGCCCUCUAGGUUGGUUUGGCAUUUUGUGAAGAGCUUGCAAAAUAUUAUUUUAAAAAUUUUAAUAUAAUUGUAUAACUGUUAAUUUUUAAUUCUCAUAAAAUAAAUUUAAGUUAACUAUUGAAUGAAAUAGUUAGUAAAUGCACGAAUGGUUUUAUAUUAGUUACGUUUAGAUAUAAUUCAUAAGGUUUUUCAAACUAUUUUAUCUCCAAUUACCCACUAAGUCUCAUAUUAGGUUUAGUUAUGAUUUACAGGUGCAUUUCAAUUUAGGGUUUUUUUUUGUUAUAGAAAUUAUUGUAAAUAGUUUUAGGAUGAAAAUACUUACUAUAAAAUAUAAACAAAAGAAUCAAAUUUAAAUAUCUACUAACUCUCAUAAAUAAAUAUUAACAUUACCUAAUCCGGUUUCUUUAUAGUCGUCAAACUCUAAUAUGAUUAACCGCUUAAAUGUAUGUAUCAAAAUUGAUAUUUACAGGAUGUGAUAUGUGUACUUUCAUUUUGAAUAUAUUUAAUAAUACAAUAGUUAACUAUAAAAAUAAUAAAUAAUAUAUGAAAUGAAAAUAUUUAUAGUAUAAAAAAGAAUUGCAAAUCGUAUAUUAACAGACAAAGCUCAACCAAUUAACCGGAUUAUGUCUUAUUAUUUCAGAUUAUCAUCUGAAAAUUUGAAUGUGUUAUAAAUGGGUUCUGUCAUUUAUGACCCGAAUCUUAUAAUCCUCUUAGGAAUCUCAAACUCUAAUCUCUGUUAUUAAACUAAGCCCUUAGUUAAAACAGUUGGUGUUAAAAAUUGAGAGUCAUUGUCGAUCAACUUUCCCUGACAUAGAAUGGAAGCAACAUGAACAUUUGUUGUUUGGGUUUACUCUUUGAACAGGAGCAACAACAGUGUCAGAUUUGGGCCAAAAGCAAGCUAAGGGCUUACCUAAGCUACUAGCCCACCACUUGGAAAGGGGACAAAUCAAAUGUGGCAAGCUGAUAUGAUAUUGCUCUCCACCCACGUGGUAGGGUCCUGCGAAAUUCAACUCAUUCCAUUGUCUUCUUUGGGUUUUCUGAAGAACUGGAACGAACUGGGUCCCAAUCACCAUCUACAACCUCGUCCAUUCCAAGCCAUCACAUGACAAAGAAAAGUACAUAACGUGGACUGUAUCAGUCUCAACUCAGGUUACCCUUUCUUAAUCCAACUUGUAUUCUAAUUCUGAGGUUGCUGCCUUUGCCACCAAUUCAUAUUUCAUCUAUUUCCCCAUGAACUGAACUCACUAUGAUUCAAACCUAUCGUCUUUUAUGAGGAUAGGGAACUUCCUCUUUGGGAUGCGACUUGGGCCCUUCCCAUCACGGCUAGCUACUUAGAAAUUCCUUCCCUGUAUUAAUCUAACAUAUUCUAAGUCUUGAUGAGUUUCAGUCUUCUAUUCAUCAACAUUCAGGAGAAUAAUAAAGAAAAUUAUUGUAUACAUUAUUUUGAUUAAUAGCCUCAUCAAUUACUUUAGUUGUACUUCUGUUUUCCUAUUAUAACUAUUACAUAAACUCUGAUCAACCUUAUACUAUAGUUUAUUUCACCUGUAUAUGUUUGAUCAGCCAUUCGGCCCCCUUCAUGGAAUUGGUUCCCACUUGACAAGACUUGUCUGAAUAUUUCUCCAACAAACAAUCUCAACUAGACAUCACAGUAUCCUUCUAUUUGUCUUUAUAAUUUCUUUCUUCUUCUUCUUUCUUUUUGCAUCAUAAACAAAACUAAUAUUAGAACUAAACAUUUUGACUUCCCGAUCCUUAAUUAAACAUUGCUAAUAGUAAAUAUAAAGAAUGCAAAAACAGAAUCAAAGGAAUCACUAGAAUAGCAGAUUUAUGAAUUUAAUUCCUGAAUCUCAUAAACAGUGUUCUUUUCAUCUGAAAUCUUAAACAUAAUGUUUGCUUCACAUCACUUAGGGCCGGGAUCAGCAUCUCUGUGAAGCAAUAUAUUAAAAUUGCCUUACAUUUAAAUUCCACACAUACACUUAUUAUCUUCAGUCAUGCGUAUACUUUUAUUGUUUAGGACAAUAAGUGAUGGGUAUUGGCAGUUUUAGAUUCUUCAGUGUUUAGACAGUCCAAAAAGUCCCAAGAAUUUAAAAGGAGUUGGAAGUUGGAAUAGUUUGUAGAGCCCCAAAUGAUUGAAGCAAAAUUAACAACAGAAGAAGACCAGGCACCAAAAAGAAUUAAUAAAUGCUACCAAAUGCCCCACAAUCAUAAAAUAAUAGAAAGCUAAGGCAACUUGCUAGUCCGUGACACUAUACUACUUCAUUCUGAUAUAUUUAUUAUAUUUCCUUCAUUCCAAUAAAACUUAUUGGUAGUAAAAGUAUAAAAUGAGGCAAAAAAAAUUGAUGCAAGUGAAAGCUACAAAUUGACUUUAAUGAUUAUCUUGAUAACCCCUGCGGUGGUUAUUAUUUAUGAUAUUAUUAUGUUUUAAUAAGACAGUGACAAUGAUUAGUGAUAAUAUAUGUGAUGAAAAGAAGAGAAUUGGAGAGCAAAAUGAUGUUUGAUUAGUGUUGUUUUGGCUAAUAAGUAACAAGAAAUAAGGUUAGGAAAUCUACCCAUUGCUUAUCCUUAAAAUGGAGAUUUUUAGGGUGGAAGUGCUAAAUGAUUGAUAGGAGUGGGUGAUAGGGAAUCAGUUGGGUGAGGAAAGAAAGAAAAGUAUCCUUUGGGCUGGAAGGUAAUAAGUGCAAGAGAAUGCAUGUGGAGUAGCAUGUGAUGGGCAUUAAAUUUUUAACAAACUCAACCUCCCCACUAAAUUUUUGGACAUAACCUUCCAUAUGAUAGUGGAAGAACCAAACAAAAUGCCAUGUGAGGAAUCAUUCACCCCUUAGAACCAACGGAUAUAGAGCUAAAAAGAAACCUAAUUAAAAUCCCAUGUUGGAAUCAAUAUGCAUAAGUAGCUCUCUCUCUCUCUAUAUAUAUAUCUAUAUAUAUUUUGAUCUCCAUUAAUAGAUACAUAAGAUAGUGCCUCGAAAAAGAUUCACUUGACAACAAUUAGAAACCAAGUGAGAAUCAUUAUCAUUAUCAUUAUUUUGCUUGGUUUUCACCUCUCUAUAACAUGGCUUGGAUUUUGUUAAGCCAAGUCUUUAAGCUGAUGAAAAGUAAUGCUAAUUCCUCCUAAUUAUGCAUUCUUUCUUGUUGAGACCAUUCCAAAUUAGCUAACUUCUCAUGGUAGAUCCUGCAAAGUCAAUCCUUUCGAGCAAGACUUGGAUCCUCCUAAUCUCACUAAGUUACCAAAACGGAUAUAUGUCAAUGUCAAAAUCAAAAUCUACCAACUGCAUAAAAUUCUCAUUUUGUUUCUAUAAAUGCAUAUAUGAGAGCACAAACUUAUUGUUUACUUUUCCUUUCAAAAAUCAUCUGCAUAUAUUUAAUCUUCAACGAGAAACUGCUAGAACGAAUGUGAAUUUUUGGACAAUCAAAAUCUUGCAAUUUCAUGUGUUGAUCUUUCUCAAUCAAUCCAAUAAUAUGUUGCGCAUACAAGCUAGCUAACCCAAUCAUUUGCCCUUGACUUGCUGCAUAUAUUUUUCUUAACAACAAACAGGAAGCCUCAAAAUUCAAUGCGUGAUUAUCAUAUGAAUUGAGAAUUUUUCGUCAUUGAAGGAUGAAUAUGUACAUAGUUAGGAAUGCCAAAAAUGGAAAGUUAGCCAAACGGAAUUCAAUGAGUAAUGAGUACCCAUUUUGAUUUUAGACAAUAUUAAUUUUCAGCUUAUUAAUCCAUAUAAUAUGGACCACCUUGUAUAUCCUCAAAGAUUCUUAUAGGAAAGACCAUGGUGGCCACUGGAAUUGCCGGAUAUCUACCGGACAAGUCCUGGUAUGCUUGUACCUACAUGACUGCGACUGAACUGAAGCUUAGCCAAUACUUCGAUAGGGUAUUUUAUUGGGUGCUUCGAGCCCUAGCAAACCCCACAUGAUUGGCCAUGGCCUGUCUGUGGACCUUCAUCUAUAAAUAGUACACAAUUGACUGCAAUUUUGGAUAUUCAUUAAACAUUGGCAGAAGACUAUAUGUCUAUAUAGGCAACAUAACCGAUGCCUAAUGUUAUAUUAAAAUUGGGUCUAUUAUUUUGGGUUGGAUAGAACAAAUCUUAUUGAAUCUUGCUGUACUUGCGCAACUAUAGAACCCUCUUCUUUAAGAAAAGAAUAAAAUUAUCAGUGUUAUAUUGGACACUUAAUGGUUUCUUGUGAUGAAAACAAUGACUCUGACAAACAAAAGAUAAAGUGAAUUAGGUAUUAACUUCACUAUUAGGUUCUGAGGACAGGGGGGACUUCGAUGCUAGUCUAAUAUUGAUUACACUUCUUGAAUAGAAUAAGUGCCUGUUUGGGAUUGGAGUGGCCAUACUGUUUUAACUUAUUAUUAUUCUUUUAAACCCUAAUAGCCCCCAAACAGUCCCUAAGUGUUACUUGGUCGAGAAAUUGAAUAGUAACACUUUUGUUUGUAAGCAUAAGUUUUGUAUGCGUAAAUAAUCUAGUAUAUAGCUAGAAAAGAUGAAUUGGAAGUGUCCUAUCCUAUGUACAAUAGCAUUUAUUGGCAAAAAAUGCUCUUGUUCAAUUGUGUUUGGAGGAUGGCGGCAGGUGUCUCGAGGCCCCCCUCAUGCAUUGAAUUUGCGCCCACAGUGGCUUGAUGAAGAAAACCAGCACAAAAAGAAAUAAAAUUGUACAUGCUAACUACUAUCUGCAUAGCCUUUGUUCAUCUUUUUGUUCCAUAUUUAACAGACAAGUCGCACACUCUGUAGUACAAAUGGACCACACUUCAGAUUUAUAUGUUGCCAAAACAAUUCAAUUCAAAUGCAUUGUAACAAUUCAUCUUUGCACUUGCGCUGCCUCAUUAUUCAAGCUCCCUCCUGUAUUUAAUCCUUCAUUAAUUUUAGUCUAUGUCUAAUCUUAGACAAAUAUAUAAUGUUCUAGUUAUUUAGUUUUUUGUGCAUUACUCAAAGCCUUUGCAAUGAUUGUUCAUUUGCCAUGAUCACAACUUGCUAAACUCAGUUAUAAUUCUUGGGUUUUAUUUGAUUAGAAAAUCUUCCCCACACGAGACAAAGUGGAUAGACAAUCAACAGUUAGGUCUAAUUUUUUCGUAAUUACUUUUGACUCUUUAGGAUGUAAUGAUAAAAGUUCUGACUAUGAAAUGGGCAUGUUGGAGUUUUCUUUUCCUUUUUUUUUUUUUUUCUUUUUUCCAAUUAAUUGAAGCAUGCAAGCUUUCAAAAGGCUCAUUGAAAUUAUAGAUUAAAUUAACAAUAUUUAUUCAUUUUGUGGAAACUGAUGAUGUACGUACUAAUUAAUUGCACUUUCAUCUCAAUAAUGAACCCUUAUAAUCGAUGCUUUGCUUUACAAGAAAGGAUCGAUGAUGAACAUACAUUCCAUGAGCAAAAUCAACUUGCUUUGCUCGAUUGUUUUGCAAUGACUCUAUAUUGACUAUUAAAUUAUUGAAUUAGUGUAUACUGCACAUUCUUUUCGACAACUUAAUCUUAUUACUAUUGUUAUUAGCGUAAUUGAUUGAGAAAAAGACUUGUGCUUGAGCUGAACUAGUUGAAGUCAGAAUGCUUUCACCCUAUUACACCCAAUUAUAAAGGUCAUACCCCAGUCAACCUAAAGUAGAACUAAUUCUUCAUUCAAGUAACUAUACGUAAUUAGCCUUAAGACUAUAAUACAUUCUUGAGCAAUUCUUGUAGUAGAAUUGAGGAUAAGUGUUAUUAUAGUUUUACUGUUUCAACUAUGUCUAUCUUUGUAGUUAAUUGAGCUCAAAGAAUGAUAUUACAGAACAGUUAAUUUUUGGCAUUCGGUUAAUGAAACUAGUCCGUGCGGCUAUUACAAUCAGCCACGAGUUGAAAAUCAAGACCCUAACUGAAGCCAAAUUUGAUAAAGAUAAAUAGAUGAUUGGAAGGUACUGUGAAGGCGAAAGCAACCUUAGCAUGGAUAGAAAGUAACCCUAAACCAGCCACAAGAAUAAAAUGUGGGAAAUCUAAGAGCGAUCCUCAAAUAAUUCAUUAGUAGUGAUGGUAAGGCAAGGUCAGUAUCACGUCAUGUUUAAAGAAAAUGAAAGAUUGGAAAACUCCUUUGCCAGUGAACCUAUGAAAAACAUCAUUUGUUAAGGUGCUUGCAGAUGACAAAGUGUUGCAUGUAAAACACAUAUAGGAAAUUAGAAAUAGAACAAUACAAAGAAGGAA